UUUUUUUUUUGGUGUGUCCCGCAGGGAGUGGACCCCGCAGACUAUUCACCACCCUCAGCAACUUGCUGGCAGCAAGGUUCGAACCAGGGACCUGAGGCUCCAUCUUCAGCAAUCUCAAUCCAAACACACUCAUUAAUGUCUUUUCACCCUCUAUAUAGGCCCGAUCGGUUAAGUUUGGAAAUGCCAUAUCGACAAUUUCUAGCCAUCAGGGUCGAUUGCAGUUUGCAGGCGAGGUUGGGUGAUAAGGUGGAAGGAAUUGUAAAUAAGAGGUUUUAGAUUCAAAUUCUAAAAAAAAAAAAAAAAAAAAAAGGUGGUUUGCAAUUCUCACCCAAUCCUUCAGGCUCUUAAAUCCUCUUGUACUACAAGGGAAUUGAUAUCACAUGAUUCGGGCCCUAUUACUUGAGUUGUUGCACCUGGUUGACGACAGAAUGAUUUGUAUGAAAAGACAUAGGCAGUAUCAUUUUCAAUUAUAAACACCAAAUGCCCUAAUUAUUUGUUCAAAUUAAGCUCAAAAAAGACCUACUCAAUUUGUGUCUUCACUAAUUAGGUAAUACUACUUUCACCUAAUUAACACACACAAGUUGCUAGCUUGGAAUGUAACCGAAGCCAUUUUGAUCAUUAUGGCCGACAAAAAAUGAAUAGGAUAGGCACAAUUUGAAGUUCUGAACACAGAGAUUAUUGUCUUCUGUUCUUGAAAUUAUUGAUGAGUCUCCUUUUCCUGUUCUCCAAGAAUAACUAAAUCACAUGCAUGCUGCAAUAAGUCAAUUGAGGUUUUCUACUCAAAAGCAGCGCUACGUACAGAGAAAUUUUGACCCUUUUCCAACCAUACCAUACCUAGCUAGUUUGGAAUUCGAUCUAUUAGCAAGCCACAAAAUAAGACACAUUAAUUAUUAUACUACGUACCCAACUUCUUUACAUGUCCAAGCGGCUUUCGUUUUCAUUAUCUGCACUAACAAAACUAUUACAACGUAAAAUUAAGACGAGAUUGUACAUAUAUCUUGAUUGCAAGAACUUCGUACGUGAACACAAUAAUGAUGCUUGGGAAAAAGUACCACUUUGCUUUUGUAUGCUUUUUUAAAAAAAAAAAAGCAUGAAUUCAUGAUCAAGGGAACUAGUAGCUCACUGCUAAAUAGUUGUACAUGGAUAUGAUUAUCUUUCUAAGGUAAUUUUCGAUGGAAAAGGGAAGAAAUGAAUGAGUCCCUGUACCAAUCAAUAACCAACGACUAAAACAGCUAGAUGUAUAUGAUAAAUCCAAAAAGAAAAAAAAUAUCUGAGUAAACGAAAAGGAAAGCUAAUUAAAGAGAAGACAUUAAUUAAUUCAGCAUAGUUGCCGGCAAUUCAAUAACUGUCAAUGUUCGUUGAUCACUUACUCGAUCGCCAACUCAUACUCAACUGGCCAUGGAGUUUUGAUUGCAGUAAAAUGCAAUGAAUGGGUAGAUAGGGUCUCGAUCGCUCUCUCAUGCAAAUGGCAGAGGAAUAGAAGACCAUAAGAUUCAUAUUUUCAUUCUUUCUUUCCGUUUUCGGGUUGAAGUUUGCACACAUCCAUGUCUUUUUUUCAGAAUUUUUUUUUUUUUUUGGUUUUUCAAAGAAAUGAAAUCAAACCUGUAAAUCUUCUGUUACAGAUGAUAAGUAUACUAUGAAAUUGUAAACUGAGUCUACUUGCUCAGUUUUGGCUAGUUGAAUUUGUGUUUGUUGGUUACAGAUUGGUAAGUAGUAGCUUGGUUCUACUAGAGACCUGUUCCUGCCAUAACAUUCAUUAGAAGUUAAUAGUUUACCUAAAAAGAAAAACUAUGUUUUCAGAACCGGACCGGGUAUCGACUCGGCCGAGGUCAGGGGUCAGGGGUUAAUGGGUUCGACCGGAGGUCGAUAGAGGUCGAACCGAAUGACGUCAUAAAUAAAAAUUAUUUAAAAAUUAAAAUAUUAUAUAUAAAAUAUCUAAUAAUAUGUUAAUAUUAAUAAAGGUAUAUUCAUAUAUAUUUAACAAGAAAAUACAAAGAAAUUAGAACAAUCAAGUAGCAAUUUAUGUUAUUUAAUAAAUAUUAACAAGUUUAAAAUUAAAAUUAUGAAUUUAAUUGAAAAAUAACAUCAAAUUUUAGGACAAUAUUUAUAAAGUAUGAAAUAUUUGAGAUAUAUUAAUAAGUUUUAACAAUUUAGGGGGCCAAAACAUAAUAUUGAAAAGAUUGAGUUUUUUUUUUUUUUAACCCAUUGAACCGAAAAAAUUGGUUUUUUUCGGUCAAAUUCGGUUUUUGACCGGACUUUAAAUUUUCGAUUUUUUACCAUGAUUCGGACCGGAUACUUGACCGGUUCUCGAUUCGAUUGGCCGCUCCGGUCCGAGUUUCAAAACAGAGAAGUAAAAAUGGUAAGCGUAUACUCUAUAAAAAUUUUCCAUUUCUUCGACGAGUUGACCUGUGUUGUGUCCCGCAGACGACUAUUUAAUAGAGGUUUAAAGCAAGUAUGCCUGAGUUGGUGUGGGUAGAGAACUUUACCAACGCAACUACCCUAAGAAGGAGAGCUUUCUAUUGAUGAAAACAUAAAAGUUUUGUAAAGACUUCGAAGCACCAUGUCAUGCAUACGUAGAGUUCAACACAACAGGCACAUGAUAUUUGAGAAGACACGUUACAAUUGACGGGGGUACUUUUAACGGUUUUAUUUAAGCAAAUAUGUGUGUUAAAUUUAGGAAAAACAGUUCAAAAUGUCUCUUGCAUUUCAUCAAAUGAAUUUUUCAUUCUUUACUUUUAAAAUAAAAAAUUUACGUCCCUUAUAAAAUCAAGUCGAUAAAAUUUAGUUAUAAUUUAGAUUUUCGACUACUUUUAUCCUAAAUCCAUUAAGAGACCCACCCAUGGUCAUUUUUUAAGGGCAAAAAUGGUUAGAUUUUAUUUAUAGUUAAAUAAAUGACUUGAUCCAUAUUUACAUUUACUCCUAAAAAAAAAAGGAUCUGACUUGAACCGUAUUCAUUUUUUCUUUAAAAAAAAUGGCAUCUGACGCACAAUCGAUAUUUAUUUUUGCUACUAAAAAAGUAGAAUCUAACUUUUUUGUACAUAAAAAAUGAUUGUACGUGGAUUAUGCAGUAAUUUCCAGUUAAAAAAUAGUCAAAAAUUUAGGUUGAGAUCAAAGUUUGCUAAUUUAAAUUUGUAAGGGACGUAAAAUUAAUAUUUAAAAAGUGAAGACGAAAAAAUUCAUUUGGCGAAAUAUGACGAACUUUUUGAACGAUUUCUCCUUAAAUUCAACCAACAAAUUUAGAUUUGAAAACUGGUUAGUCAACCUCUUAAUUAAUUGUUAAGCCGUAGCCCAAGUGCAGUGAAGAUGUUUUUAAGAUUUUUCAUUCCAUUUUCAUGUAAAUAAGCCAAAUAUAAAUUAAUAAUAGCUGCCAUGCCGGCAUUUCUGGUGUUUGAAUAAAUUUUUUUAAAAGAAAAUCUUCGAAUUUACAACCACCUAGACUAAUUAAAGACUACAAAAUAUCACGAAUAAUUUUUUUCGCCAUAAAUGCUAUUUUUGUUGUGACUAAAUUUGGGUGAUAGGACAUUUUAUCCAAGAGUGUUCUAACAUGGAACUGACACGACCAUGCAUCGAAUCACCAUGCAUAGUGGUGGAUUGCACUAUCUUUAUUGCAAGGUUGGGGCCUUGAUUCAUCACUGGCAAAGCCAAGAAAGUGGCAAUGACAGAAGCUUUAUUUGGCAGCAUAAACAUGCAUUUAUUCAAGUUGUUCGGCCGACAACGUACAAUUCAAACCGCAGGAUGUAAAUGUAAGAGCGAUGCGCACACUCAAGUUGGUAGAGAAUAAUACUCCCUCCGUCCCACUUUGAUAGUCCUGUUUCUUUUUUCACACAGUUUAAGAAAAAGUAGUUAACUUUAUUGGAAAAGUAAAUUUAGAUUGCUAUUUUCCUAAAAUACCCUCACAUUAAAUAGAGUACAACUUUAUGGGAACUUGAAUUGAUGAUAAAAAAAGAAUCAACUCUCAUUAAAUGAGGUAGGUUUAUAGCAACAACAACUUGUAUUGAAUAAGGGUAUUUUAGGAAAAUGAAAAUACAACUACAUUCUUCAAUUGGAAAGUGGACUGCAAUUUGGGACAGACAAAAAAGAAAAACAGGACUAUCAAAGUGGGACGGAGGGAGUAUUACGUUUUUGGGUUAAAAGGCCUUAAAAUUUUUUUCCUGAAAGUAAUAUUUAAGUACAGUGUAAAUUAGAUGAUGCAUAAAAAAGGUUCAUUUACAUUAUUAUCAUUUCCUUCUUUCUUAAAAUAUAUAUUGUUACCACAUCCUUAUAACACUCAUAAUAUAUAAAAUUUAGAAGUUGUUUGGUUCGGAUUCUAGAUUUGGCAUCAUAAUUGAAAUUAGAAUUAUAGACCCUGCUAAAGCUACAAAAGAAUCAAACCGCUCGCAAGCGGCUCGAGUCCAAACUCGAGUCGAACUCAGUCAACAUCGAUCUCGAGUCAAGAUCGAUUUGACCAAGUCGAAUUCGAGUUAAAAAAUACUAAACUCGUUAGUUCGCGAGCUGACUCGAACUCGAUUAUAUAUAUUAAUUUUUUUAUUUUAAUAGUAAAAUUACAUAUAUAUCUCUAAUAUUUUAUUAUUUGUCAAGAAAAAUUAUUAUUUUAUUUAUUUUUAAAAACAAAAUAAUUAUUUUUUUAUUUUUUUAAACUCGAGCUCGAGUUUGACAUUUUGACCAACUCAAGCUCGAGCUCGAGCUUUGUAAAAUUAUGUCAAGAUUCGACUGGUUUGCAUCCCUCGACACUAUUAUACGUUAUAAUAAUUCCCUCUUACGGGUGUGGUUUGGAAGUGGGAUGAGUUCCAUUAUUAUAUUAAAGAAUUAAUUGAAUUGAAACCCAAGUUAUACGUGGGGAAUGAUAAAAGAUAAGAUCUAAUACUUUCAUUCCCAUCAAAUAAUUUAUCUAGUGAACUAUCAAACAAUAAAUAUGAGUAUCAUUAACUCUAGCCCUCGUUCCUAUCCCUCGUACCCAUUUAUCAAAGAGGCCCUUAAUUCGUUUUUUGCAGCAGAAAGUACACAGAAUUUACACAUAAUGCAAAAUCCAAAGUGGCCUCUCAUACAUGCUACUCGUUUUCCUUUUCUGGGCUUUGAUUAAAAUUUUCUUAGAGUUGCAUUUGAACUUUCAUCAACCAAGAUGUACAUAGCACUAACACUUAGAUGAUCUAGGGGAAGGGGGAGUAUGAUGGGAAAGGGGGAGGGGGAGUAUAAUCGAUGCUAACAGUUGUAUAAUCUAGUCUAACAUAAUUUAAAGAAGUAUAAUCGAUGAAAAAUCCUGUCGAAAGAAGUCGCCCGAAGGUGACAGCCACAAUUAAGUGACAAGUAUGGUGGGAGGCAAACCAAGACUUUAACCAACAGCCUCUUGGGCUGUUGGCUCCUUAUGUGCAUAUCAGUUCAGCAGUUUCUGGCCAAUUUAGCUUCAACUUCUGGACUUCUGGUAAUGUACGCUCCUUUCACGUGUACUUGCCAAUGUCAUUUUUGACUCGUUAAAAGAUGUACGUACUAGUGAAAGAAUAAGAGAUAGAACACAAAAACGUGGGAUUCAUUUCCACAUAUGAUAUGCAAAUCAACUGUAUAUCAUGAAAGGGAGAGGGUUUCGCAAUUGCGCUUUUGAAUCAGUUCCAUGGCUAUAGGAGAUGUGUGUGGGAUAUCAAUUAAGACUAUUUAUUGCAGUUCAUUUCAGGUUCAAGCAAAAAGUUCGAGUCAUUUAAGUAGACUUACAGGCGAAUUUCGUUUAUACCAAUGUUUUGAAACUCACAUCAAGCAAUGACUCAAUCAAAUUCAAGGACCAAUAGUUGAAUCAGGAUGAAAAACCAAAGAACCAAAUGACGUAAUAAUAGUGUCAUAAAUAUAUCUUAAUUAUAUGUAAAAUACUAAAAUAAUAUGACAAAGUUCCCUUAAGUUGGAAUAUUUUGUGAGUUUAUAACUUAGAAAUGUCUAUGAGUGGAUUUACAGUGUCGUAAAACUAAAGGGUCAUAACAGAAUAUCAAAAAGUAUUAAGAUAGUGAAGCAAAUUAAAUAAGACAAACCUAAUCCCCUCCUUUUUCAUAUUUGACUUUCAUUCAUUCAAUGCUCACACAAACACACAAGCAUGUGAAUCCCCUCUCUCUGUCCUCUCUUCUUUUCUUUUCUUUUCUUUUUAAUAGUAAAAUUAUAUAUAUCCUUAACAUUUUAUUAUUUAUUAAGAAAAAAUAUUAUUUUAUUUAUUUUUUUAAAUAAAAUAAUUUUUUUUCGAGCUCAAACUCGGCUCGAGCUUUAAAUUGUCAGCUCGUCAAACUCGAGCUCGAGUUCGACUUCAAUAAAAAUAAGUUAAGAUUCGACUCGAUUAAGUCAAAAUUCGACUCGACUCGGCUCGUUUGCUACUCUACUUGGGAGGAAUUAUAACCCUUGUUGGAUUUGGAUACGCUACAGAUGUUCGCUUGGACAUUGAAAAUGCGUUCUUGUCUGUAAAAUGGCUAAGCUAUAUUUGAUGCUACCGCUUUUGGAGAUUUAGGAUUUGCUUUUGCAUGAUGGAAAGCAAUCUCGAACAGAACAGUGACUCGGCUAAACUAUUGGCCCCGUUUGGCAAGUGAGUUUUUUGAGUGUUUGUUUAAAAUUUUACUGUAGUUUACUACAAAAGUUUUUAAAAAAUUUUUUGAAAUACGUUUUUUUUAAUAUUUUGAAGUGUAUACUUUUGAGAAGUUUUUUGAAACUACCGUAACUAAAGUUUUUUAAAAACUUGUAGCAAACAAACUUGGCAAAAAACUUGUUUACCAAACAAGGCCAUUGAGUCAGGUUUCAACUAAUCGGAUUGGUCGGAUCUAUCUCCAAAACCCGCUGACAUCAGUAUGAUAUCAUAACUAUUUAAUAUAUCUAUAAGUUUAAAAAAUAUUGAAAUUAAGUUCUUGAUUAUAUUCAGCCAACUAUACAAAAUGUUUAAAAAAUAUUAGAUUUGCAAAAAAAAGUGAAAAACUAAAUUAAAACAAGUUAUGCAAGUUGGAAUCAUUGAUGCUAAAUUGAUAAGAUGAUAGGAAUGAAAAUCAUUUAGAGAAGCGAAUGAUAUUUGUAUUUACACUAGGUGUGUGGCUUUUUUUGUUCCUAUUAAUAAAUGAAAACUUUACAAUUUAGAUAAUUUAAAUUAUAUUUAAAAACAUAGAAAAAAAAUUUGAAAACCAGGCUAUUAAUCGAAUCGGACCGCUAGUUUGACCGAUUUUUUGAUGGUUUUAACUGACUUUUUGCCAAAUCAGUUUGGAAAGAAAAUUGAUUCACAAUCGAUCGAUUCGAUCCGAUCCGGAUCUAACAACACUGAUGGAAAAUUUUUGUCUCAGACACAUAACAGGGGAAUGCCUCGUCGUGGCAUGGAUUAGCCGUGAUGCCGCCAAAGCCAUGUUGCAUAUAUUGGCUUGACAGGUGGAUAAGGUAAAAAGAUAUAUACCGCAAGGUUUUGGAUAUUAACUGUCAUACGUUUAAACAAGAAUUGGAAUAAAAUGGUAUGGUGUGAAAAGUAGAAUAAGAAUUCAUAAACGUCCAUAACCAGGCCUGCAAACUACUCUUCAAAUGCUGUAAUGUUGAAAAACAUUCAUAACGAGAGACAGAUGUGGAAGCUGUUUUUUUUUUUUUUUUUUUGGGUUGGACAAAAAUUUAUAUAGCUCAUCUAAUUAUCUUUUCCACUUUCCACGGAGCAAGCAACAUCAAAGUCCAUCAUCCAAACCAAAAAAUUCAAUGUAUUUAAAACAGAAUAUUCUUGCGGAUCUUCUGUCUCACACUCUGUGCCAUUCUCUGUCUCACUUUUUAUUAUAUUGCUAUUUCUCCUUCAUAAACAUCAUAUUUUAGUUCUUUUUUGUUUCCUUAUGAUUCAAUAACUAUUAAUUCAGUAAAAAAUAAAUACAACAACUUAAAAAAAGCUAUAUAUAAUAGAAAAUUAAAAAAUAUAGCAGAAAAUGCAUAAAAGAUCUCAUUUUUUGUGCAUUUUGGUUUUUUGAGUUUAUUAAAUUUUGUGUAUUACUGAAUUAAUAAUUAUUGGAUCUUAAGGAAACAAAAAAGAACUAAAACAUGAUGUUUAUGAAGGAGAAAUAGCAAUAUAAUAAAAAGUGAGACAGAGAAUGGCACAGAGUGUGGGACAGAAGAUCCGUUGCGAUAUUCUUGACGAAAUCACUCCAUCACUACAACUCUCAACCCACGGGAUGGGAAAAGAUUGAAUGUAAGUACCAAAAAAAAAACCACACCAAUCCACCCAAAGAAUGAAAAACAAAUCCAGCAGCCUUCUUCCGUCCCGAAGAAGAGGCUAGAACAAUUUUUUUUGUUGCAAAAAGGCCUCCAUUCGACACAGGAAAAAUGCCCAAAUAAAAAAGGAAGAAGAAGAAAGAAAAAGAAAUCAAUACCAGCAAAACACAAGCAAAAACUAAAGCAUUUCUUCUGUCUUCAUCAGAACGAUAUUUCUACUUCUUUUGUUUGUUUUGGGUUUUGCUGUUAGAUGAACGACAGUACCCUACUAGCUAGUACUAGUCAUUUGUACGUACACACUCAACACACAUUUAUUAUACACAUACAUGAUGAUUGAGGACAGUUGCCUAUUAAUUAUGUACUAAUUAGGAGGUCCAAGGAGCUUGUAAACCACAGCAUGAUCAAUCAAUCCACCAACACUAAUUCCACCAUCAUUUGACCAAUGAAAACCAUUAUCAAAUGGAUAUUCAGGCCAAUUCAGAAUCUGCUCCUCACCAAGCAGGCUGGGAGCCGGAGUCUCGUCAAAGGCAAACUCUCCAUUUAUAUCCUUAAAAAUGGACACUUCAUCAAGAACAGAAGUCCCAUUUUUCUUGUCUUCGAGUUCAGGAGAUUGAUGUUCAUUGGUCAAGUCUUGGCCGUUUUUAUACCCCGUAUUAUUGCUGUACGCUGCUGAAGCAACUGAUGAACUACCGGGAGGGGAUGGGGGUUGAUCUUCUUCUGGUAAAUUCAGCUUAGCACAUUUGCCAUAAAGCCUUUUGGCUGCGUCAUCGUAGGCUCUGGCGGCUUCAUAAGAGGUGUUGAAAGUGCCUAGCCAAACUCUUGCACCGUGAUUUGGCUCACGAAUUUCAGCUACCCAUUUCCCCCAGGUCCGUUGCCUAACACCCCUGUAGGUGCAAAAUGCAUUUUCUGGCCCGCCUUUGCCCCUCAUGCACCCUUUUCUUGAACCUCCAACGGUGAUUUUCUUCAUCGAAGUACUGAUUGCUGCUUCUUUCUUGGGCUUUUUAUCUACUGGAAUUCCUACAUUCACACCCUCAUUCUCCACUCUUUCCAUCAUGCAUGAUUGUCACAAGGUUUAUCUUUUUAGUGAUACGAAAGGAGUUUUGGGCGGUGAUAUUUGCCUGUUUGGGAUGCUUUAUAUUAUACGAGCGAGGAAAGAAUUGACCAAAUUGAUCGAAUCCCAAUUGAUACUUGGUUUAGACGACAUGUGUAACCUAGGAGGAGCUUGCUCGUCAUGAUACAACUGGGUAAUAUGACAAGUGGCACCAUGUUGUGUCUGAGGCUGUCGAACAUGAAUGUUUAACUAGUUAACGAACCAAAAAUCGAAAGAGUUCUUAUCAAACUUGAUUCGAUAUUAUCAAACUUGAUUCGAAUAUCGAGUAGAUUGUUUUAUCUUUCACCUCUACUCCUAUCUAGUUGAACAAUUCAUUUAACUAAAAGAGUUCAAAAAAAACUAUGUACAGCAAAUUACGUUUAAUGAGAUGAUGGAUUAUUGAACACCCCAAAUCAUUAAAUCGGUUGUAGCAAUCAGGAGGAUGAAUCGGGACAAGAGACCUGAGAGAGAGGGUUUUCGGCCCAAAAUAUCUUCUAUCCUACUUUCUAUCUCACGUAUUAUAUUGUUUUGUGGGAUGAUGUAGGAGGAAACUAUGGCUGCGUCCGAGCGUUCAUGUGUCAAACUGCAACGAACGAGGGAGCCAGGUGUUGAAUGCAAAGGCAUAUGGGAUCUGCAUGGAUUUGUGUCUUCUUUUGUUAUUUCUUAUGGCGACAAAACUACCACGAUGCUAAUUAGAUCACAGUUGCUACGUGUUCAUUAAUGCAUAUGUAUUCACUUCUUCUUGUAAUCCCAUUUCUUGUCCUUUCGCUCCGGGUCUUCUUUGGCAUCUGAUGGCGUUUAUCCCAUUUAGUUUCAACAAUUUGUUCAGAUUCCAACCAUGGUUCAAUACUCGGCCGAGUCGCCACUAGAAUGGAGCUUUCCGAUCCGAUAUCGGGACGAGAUGACUCCGAGAUAAUAAAUCUUGAGAACUCAACCGAGACGUCUCCGAAAUGAAUAGAAACGGCUGAGUCGUUCUGACUAGUCUCGAGUCAGUUCGAAUUUUUAUUAUUUUUAUUAAUUUUUAAUUAUUUUUUAUCAUAUAUUUUUAUAAUUUUUAGAAUAUUAAAUAUUUCAAAAAUUUGCGUCUCGUCGAGAUCGCAAUCGAUAUGCCGAGACCGAUGUGGAACGUUCCAAACUGCGAUCACAACCACGACCACGACUGUGAACCAUGAUUCCAACAGCAACAGGUUCAAGCACAAUUCUGGGAGCCAGUAUUAUAUAAACAGUAGUAUUUAUUACACUUAUAACUGAGUCCGCUAGUUGUUGGAGAGUAGUAUUUAUUUUUCUUGCAGAACCAUUAGGUGCUUGCAGGAACUGGGAUAUACUUCCAAGUUCCAACCGUAGGUUACAUACAGGGAACUCUGUAAGCCUGGCUAGACAUUUCGAUACAAUGUAUCUUGGCCGAGGACAGACUAGACUACUGAUUGCUUAGACCAUCAACCUCGCGCAUCCGAAAUGCAGAUAUUUGAAAAUUGACUAGUUAAUCUAUGGGGAUAAUUUUAGAAACCUCCUAUGAGGUUUCUGAUAAUUUCACCAGCGUCUUCUGAAAUCUGUAAAAUUACACAAAUCUUGGCUGAGGUUAAUGUUUUGAUAACAAAGUUGGUCCAAUUAAAAAAAGUAACAUUAAAAAAACACUGUAAGGAGAGAGAUGAAACUUUUAUUUUAUAAAUAGCUCUUAUGCAUGUACAUAAGUUGUAUUAACAAAAGAAUAAAAAUAAUUAAAAUUUAAAAACAAUUAAUACUCAAAUUUAACCAUUCAAAAAGUUCAUAUUUAAUAAAAUUAAAUAACUCAAAUAACUAACAAAAUUACACUAAUGAUUACAAGAUUCGGUAAAACAAACUAAUCAUCUCUUUUAACAUAAUAUUUGCAAUGAUUCUUGUAAUUUUAAACCAAAAAUUUUUUUUGAAUUUUGCUCCAUUUGGUGCCCAAGUUAUUCUUCAAAUCAAUGACAUGGUAGUUAGACAGAUUAACUCGUGAUCAUUUUUCAAAAUUUGGUCUAUAAUAGCAAUAUUUCACCAAUCGACUAAGUUUAUAGCGUCUCUAAACAAACUACUAUAUCUUUAAUAUACAUGAAACUAGAUCUAAACAUCAAAUUACUAGCUCUUUUGUGUACACACAACUAGGUGUUUUGAUGUUAAACAUGCAAGUAGGUUGAUUCAUUUGGAUUACGUGUAAUUAUGUAUCUGGCUUGCCUAGGAUUUUGAUAUGAUUUUCUAUUUUAAUUUCUCCAUCAUUCUCUUUUUCAUUAUUGGAAUGUGUUAUGAUGUCAAAUUUUGGUUUUUGCUUUAGACACGAUGCGUGCCAAACAUGUAUAUUAGAGGUUAGAGGUUAAACAAAAAUUCUAACAAAAAUUCUUGAAGAUUUGAUUGUAAAUUGUGGUAGUAUUGGAAUAAAAAGUGUUUUUCAAUGACAUCCCAAACUCUAUACAUCACUUUAUUUUGGGUUUUAAGGCAUCAUUUUAGAAAAGUUAUCAUUAAACUCUAUGCAUCACUUUUAUCUUAGUUUAAUUUAAAAAAAUCUUAGUUUAAGGGAUAAUUUCAAAAAAUUUGUCAAAUAGAUAUCUUUCACCACAAGUACACAUUCUAUUUUCCACUAUGCUAUAGGGAUGUAUGUUUGGAUAAUAUAUUAUUUGAAAUAUUAUUUAGAAUAAUUACUGUAAUACUUUUUGUGAUGUGAUGUAUGCGAGAUAAAAAGUAGUUAGGAAUAUAAAAAAGUGAAUUGAGAAAUGUGUUUAUGAUGCAAGUGAAAUAUUAUUUAGGAUAAUUUAGCAAUCCAAACACACUUAACACAGAUAUCGAGAUCACCUACGACCUUCCUAACUUUCCCAGCCCUAGUGAUAGCAGUUAUCAGUUUGGUCGUAAUUCCAUGGCAUCACUUGCAAGUUAUUAACACACAACUGUUCCGAGAAUUCGAGCACAACUACAAAUUGGUGUGUCCCGGUAUGAUUGUUCCUCUGAAUGAGAGAAGAAACUCUAAACAGGAGGAGAAACUGAGUGCUGCAAUUGCCCAGCCCAUAAUUAAGGCCCAUGUUAUGUAUCAAUUUCUUGUGCAAAAAUUCACCAAAAGAAAGCUUUUAAAGUGAAGCAGUAAGUCCCAAAUAGCAGUUUCAAAACGUCAUGUGAACACAAGCAGCUUUAUGUUAUCCAUAUCUUUUGGCGGUUUUAUAUCAUCCAUUUUGUCACGGACUCGUUUCGAUGACGUCUUGUUAACCUUACAUAAUUAGCAUCCGUUACGCCAUCUAGUGUUCAACAUCAACAAACUCCUUUUUUUUUUUUUUUUUUCAGAAACAACAACUAUUGUAUAACCUAUUUAUGCUAAACUAGAGGGGAGGAGAACCCUAAAGUAGGGGUGCUGUCGAGUCGAGUCGAACUCGAGUAGUGCACUACUCGAGGCAAAAUAACUAAGCUCGAGCUCGAUCUCGUCAAGCUUUUAAAAUUCGAGCUCGAGCUCGACAUCAAUUUAUGGAACUCGAGUUCGAGUUUAAUUAAAUGUAAUUAAUUCAAAUCAAGCUCAAUCAAGCUUAUUCGAGCUCAAUCGAACCUAAUCAAGCUCAAGUAAUAAAAAUUAAUAUUUUAUAUAUAAUUUUAAAUAAAGGAUAUUAUUGACAUAUCACAAUAAUAAAAAUUAAAAUAUAUAUUAUAAAAAACUCGAUAGAGCUCGUCGAGUUCUCGAGUAUUAUAUUUCCAAACUCGAGCUUUCCAAGCUCGAACUCGACUCGAUAGCUCUAACGAGCAGCUCGAGCUGCUGACCAAAUAGCUCGCGAGCUCGAACCGAGCUACUUGGUUCAGCUUCACCCCUACCCUAAAGAGGCUAUGUUUGGAACUAACGGGUAUACAGAUCUUACUUAGACUAAAGGAGUGUUUUGGCACAACUUUUGAAUUUUUUUUACUGCAGGUGGAAUUUGAACCCUCACCUACAACUCAAGGAGAGACUCAAGACCCUCCCUGGUGCCCACUGAGCCAAGUUCAGUGGUUAACAUCAACAAACUCCUGAAUAGUAACGAUUUCCUCCAAUAGUACUCCAUGUUGAUUUUUGCUAUCGUUCGGUCCUUGUUCUCAUUUUCUUAUGAGAAUGGUGUCUCUUACAUUAGUCAUAUCCUAAUUUUGUGUUUUAAUGGCCAACCGUUCAUGAUUGAAUGACUCAAGAGUUCCAGAAUAAUAAACAAAAAUGGAGAUAGUAACAGUACGAGGAUCGUAACCUAGUUUAUCAAUUGCCUUAAACAGAUGAUAUAAUUGAUCAAUGGGUUGAUCCAGAUUAGUGAAAAUUCAGAAUAGUUUUUGGAUUUGAAUUCCAUUGACUUGGUUUGGAAGGGAUUUUGAGUUGGGUUAUCAUUGUUUUGUGGGUUGUUAGAUUAUAGUAAAUAGGGACGAGGACAAAUUGGUUGUUUUGUGCGCUAGUCUUAGGCUAUAAAUAGAAUGAGAACAAUUGGGAGAGGUGGAUUAAAGGGUUGGAAAUGGUUAUAGGGUAUUCAAAUAAUUUGAUUGGAGCAAAGAGAUUGGACAGUGGUGUGGUAAAUCGGCGAGGCUUUAGAUAGUAUUGGAAAGCGAUGAAUACGUGUAAUAGUGUGUAAUUAUAGAUCUCUCCUUUCCCUUCCCUGCUUCCUUCUUCCGUCAUAAUCAUUUCCAUUAUAAACAUCUACAAUGUAUCUCAAUUCGCUUCUUUACUCUAAACUUUUUGUAACAUAGUUUUUUCAGCCUCACGCGAUGCGUGAGGAUGCCCUGGGUUUAUGUUAAUCAAGAUCAAAUGAAGGCAAGUGGAUUAAUGUAAAAUGAUUAUAUAUUAAUACAUGAUAGGUGUUAAUAAAUAUGGAAAAUUUGACUUUAGGUAAAUUGAAUAUUGCUAUUAUUCGUUUACUCAUUUGAUUUGUAAUUUUCUCUUAGAUAGUCAGUCAUUGCUUUAAGAUCUUUGCGAAUUUUCGAUACUAUAAAUAAAUGAUGCAUUCAUUUGAAAUGUACAAGUACAUACAAAUAUCAUAAAUAUGGUGACACUGAUUACUUUUAAAAUUAUGCACACUAUUUGUAUCUAGUGAAGUAAAACCCUUCUUGAAACUUAUUGUGAAUAAACACAAUGGUAAUGUCAAUAAUUUAAAGGAACAAUCAUCACAUUUCUAUGCAAUAAAAAAUGUCAAAAAAUUGAGAAUUAUUCGUGAUGUAGUAAAACAAAUAUGCUUCUAGUAAAAUUGUAGUAAAAGAAGUCAUAUUGAUAGGUGUUGUUUCUUAUAGUAAUCUUUCCAAUAGAAUGUGUCUUCCCAAAUUUCUUGCACUCAUUGCAACAAUUUUUGGGUGUAGUACAUAGAUCAUCGUCAUCAUUUUUCUUCUUUGCAUCUCUUUUUUUGUGCAAAGACAAAUAAAAAGCAGAGACUAUUAGUCAAUGACGAUGAACUUUUCCUUCUUUUCUUUUUUCAAGCAUUCUUUGAAGGAGAACAAAUUAUAGUAAUCUUGAGACAUGCAACAUGUCGUAUAUUUUACCUUAUAACCUUAAUAGGCAAUUGGACCUUAACUACCAUUUGAAUCCCGUGAGGAUGCCUGGAUUUCCGUCUGAAUUUGCUAUGAAAUAUCUAGAUUUUUGUUUGAACUUGUUGCAAAUUUCUGAUACAUUUGUGGGAAUGCAUUAGUAGGAGAAUUACUUAGGAAGUACUAAACAAUAGCUAGGAACAACAUGGAGAAAUAUAUCAUACUCAGAUUCACUACAAUGUAUUAUCCCUAUUUUCGCAAAUGCAAAGCAAUAGUAUCCCUGCAUCUACAGAUUGGUCUUAGUAAGGACCAUCCAAUAUUGAUUUAUAAAUGACCAAACCCGGAUUUAUCUCUUACCUUACUCGUACCAUUUGAAGAUUCUAAUGGUAUUUUCCAUGUUUCCCUACUUGCAAUACCUAUCCAUCAUGAAUCAUAACAGAGCAGACUGGAAUUAGUCCACUGACAAACACAUUAGAUUGCAAGUUUGAUUUAUGUAUUCUUGAUUCUACAAAAUAACUGAUGAGUUUAAUGGGCGGACAAACACCUUUGAUAAAAUUCUUCCAAACAACUUUAACUUGAUCAUUGUAUUGCACAACCUAAAUGCGCCUCCAAACACCCAUUUAUGGAAUAUGAAUGAAUUAGUGCUGCGUGAGUUCUUGACCAAUUCAUGAAGAAAUUCCUCAGCUCUAGCCACACACCUAACUUGCAAAAUCAAUUGGUGAGAGUAGUACAAGUAAUUAGAUCAACUCAACCCUCUGACAUGGUUCCCCUCCACUCAACUUUUUGAUGACCCCAUAAACACCCAGGGUUAAGCCAAGUUCAGUGUACACCUACACAAGUGCUUUUGAAACUGCACUACUUGAAAAAACUCAUCCAUAGCUAUUAGGCAAUGUAUCCAGAGUAGCAAAAUGUGAGCAUAUACAUAUGUUAUCAUCAAUUAUUUCAUCAAAGACAAUACAUCAUCCCGCUUUCCGCAAUUCACCAGGACAUGAAUGAGUAUAACAUAACAACUUGGACAUUAAAAAGGCAAUCCAUAGAUACCACAUGGCACUAAAACCAAAAUGCUUUACAAUAGUUAUAGUGACAUAAUAUUUGCUAUGCAUAUAUUAGUCACUCUCAGGCAGAAAACUAAAGCAAAAUUUCACAUUAUUUUUAAUAGUAUGAUCAAUUCAGUCACGUAAAAAUUUAAAGUCAAGGUCCCUGAGAAUGAUAAUUAUCCAUCUAGAGUACAAUAAAUCUUUGAUAGGGUUAAAUACUUGUUAUCCCCACAUCUACAUGCAUACAAAAACAUAAAGUAUCAUUAUCUGAAUAAGCUUUUAUUACACUAAAAAAAUCAUUCAGAAGCAACAAGUUAUUACACUAACAAGUCAACUGGUUUGGCUCUUUAACUCUUCUUUUGUUCAAGAAAUCAAAAUCUUUCAAGAACAGUUAAAAGAAAGAACGAUAUAAAAGAACUUACCCCAAGGUAUAUUUUUUCCAGUGCUCCUCUGUUUUGUGUAAAGGGUACAAGAGUUCAAGUUGUUAUUGGCUAGAAGGGGAAGGGAAAUGCCACAUAUAGCCAAAACAACAUGUGCUCCUUCAUUCUAUUUUCCAUCUUCAGUAGAGUUAAAAGUGACAAGCAUUUAUUAGAAGGCUUUCUAAUUCUGCUCCGUUUUUUUUCAAGUCUAAGUUCCUAGAAAGAUAUACAUAUGGAAGGAAAAGGUAAAAGGCUAACAAAUAAAAAGGCAUAAAGCUAAACUUUCUCAAAGAAAAGAAUUCAUGCAAAGAAAAGUACCAUAUUAAGCUCUAGUAGUGCAGUUUAAUAUAAUGAAAGCUCUCUCAUACUUAGUCAAUCAAUAGACAACCUACAACAUUAACACCUUGUCUCAUUUAGACAUUUUACAAAAAUUUCAAAAGCUCUAGAAAGAACCAAUUUGAUAAGUGAUUGUGUUAGAAAGUUAGAUUUCUAAGGCUAACAGAAUAAGUCCAAGGAAUUGGCCACAACUAAGCAAAAAGUUUAGGUGAAAACCAUGCAAUGCUCAAACUAUUACGACUUGCAAUAAAGAGAUAAUUAUCAACAUGUAUGGUGCUAAGAAAUCUAGUAGAACAAGAAAACAAAGAUGCAACAAUGAGUAAAUAAAGGUUAGGUAAAAAAACAUUUGGCCUUUAAAUUCAAUCAAUUGGCAUGAUAGUUGAUAAUAACCAAUAGCAUGGCUAAUCAUCAACCUGUCAAAAAAGAACACCAACGGGAAAGAAAAGAGAAGGAAGCAAAAUAUAAAUUAGUAGACAAUAUAAAAUAGAGGAACUUGAGCUCAGCAGCAAGGACCAAAGACAGACUGAUAACUUCUUACUUUCAAUAACUGUCUCUAUCGAAGUGCAGCAAGGAGAAGAGAAGGAAUGAUGCCCUCCACUAUCAAAAAGAUUAGCGAAGCAAAGGAAAACGGUAAGUGGCAAACAAACAUUUGAGUUUUGUAGUCUCAGUCGUACAAAAGCUUGAUAACUUCAAUAAGAAAGUUUACCUUGUUCAAUUAUAUAAGCAAAUAUAGGUCAUCAACAAAGAAAAUGAAAUUUUACUUGCAUAAUACACAACGGCUGCAAGUCAAAAUUUGAUAGAUGUUCCUUCCUAUUAUACUUUAAUUUCCAUUCAAUAAUUCAACUAUUUGAAAUAUUUGAAGAAAAACAUUAAAAAAAGGUAGCCAAAGUUCCGAUGAGGCUGGCACUUCCAACUCUGCCGAUCACAGCAAAAUCGCAGAGCUAGUGUUGCACAGGCUAAGAAACGAACGAGAUUGGUGGAGGGAAUUAAAUAUAAGAUAGGUAUAUAUCUUUACUACAAAAUCAGAUUGCCCUCGGCGGAGGAGAUGGAUAGAAGAUGGGUAUAUGACAAACAAAACCGAUAAGGUUGGCACUUCAAACUCUGCCGAUCACAGGAAAAUCGAAGAGCUAGUUUUGCACAGGCUAAGAAACGAACAAGACACAGUAAUGGAGAUUGCAAAGCCUGCGCGCAGCGAUUCUUGCACUUUGUCCAGAACACUUAGAUUUAACUACUUCGCUAAGAAUGAGCAAGAACACAGCCACCGCGCGGACAGCCGCAAAUCGAAGGCCAUGCAGACAGCUCAUAGCGGCAAACUCACCGGCCACAAGAAAGCCACGCGGACAGCAUCGAAGUUCCAAAGCCAUGCAGACAGCUGAUAGCAACAAACUCACCGCCCACAACAAAGCCACGCGGAUAGCAGGAAAUUUCCAGCAAAGCCACCACCACUGAAUGGCAAAAGAUCAAACUGCCCCUCAAGCUCACACAAAUCACGCUAUAACCGGCCCAUUUUCACUGUAGCUAAGCCAACUGACGCUUUUAGUAUAGUAAAGAUUUGAAACCCACUUAAAAAAUAUAAUAUUAAAAAACUUAUUUUGGGAGAGAGAAUACAAUUUUAUUCCAAAUUUAUCCUUUUCUUGUGAUUUCUUAAUUAUCAUAAAACAAUAAAUUUUAUCUCCUAAUUUUUGUUAAUUGAUAGAUAUUAGUUCUUUAAUGAAUUAAAAGUUGAUAACGAGAUCAAAAAGUCUUUAAUAGUUUUUUGUGUCAUUGGUUCGAAUAAAAAAUAUUAAAUUACUUGAAAUUAUGAAUGAUUUACAAUAUUCUUUAAAAUAACUUGCAAUAAAUUAUAACCAUGAGGAUACGUUUUUGCACCAGUUUAAAAAACAAUACAAACAAGUUUAUAUAUAAUUUUUUGCAUAUUGUAUCUUUUUACUUUUCAAGCCAUCGAUUUGGAAAAAAAAAUUAGAAAAUUCAAAAAUAUGUAAAAAAAAUUAGAAAACUUCAAAUGAAAUUUCAAAUAUUAACUUUUGAUAUUUAAAAUUUACACCUUUUUUUUCGAGUUAGAAUAAAUCUUCAUAUCUUUUGUUUUUGUUUUUCACUUGUUAUUAAUAUACUCAUCAUUUUGGUAAUAAAAUGUAAGACAACAAAACCGUAAAUUUGGAAUGAGAAUAUAUUUAUCUCUCCCAAAAUAAGUUUUUUAAUGAGAGAAUAAGGCAAGCAAGAUUUUUUUUAAGUUCAAAGAUACCAAGUAAAACUGUGAGAAACAUCAGGGGGGAUUUUUGAAAUUAUCUCUAAGAUUUAAUGAUCUUUAAAAUGGUUGACGAGAACAUAAUCUGAUCUAAUUUUGCUACAGUCUUCUUACCUUAGGAAGAUGUAGAAAAUAUUCAUUAAUAUCGACUUUAUAUACUCUUUCGUUUUUGAAAUGCUUGGCAUUGAGAAUUCGACUUAACAAAGGCUGGUGGCCACCACCUAACUUGGUGGGGUGGGAACUAAGGGUUCAAACCUUGCCCUUCACAAAAAAUAUUAUAUUUAAGUGAUUUGUUUUAAAAAAAUUCAGACGGGUGUGUUGUGUACCCGCCUGGUCCGGUGGUGGUUCAAUCCUCUCCGGGUUAUCCUUGGGGUUUCUUAAGUCCGCCCCCUCCCCCUUAGUGUAGAGUAAAUUAAGUUAUAUAACUGUUGUCGUCUCCGAAAAAAAAAUUAAUACUUUUGAAUUACAAGAGCUUCCAAUUAAAAUGACAAAUGCAGUCACUUGUUAAAAGUACAAAAAACCAAGGGACUCGGUUUAUCUUUUUUUUUUUUUUUUUACUGACGGAGUGGGUUUUUGGAUCAAGUUCGUAAAGACGGCCCGACUAAUCCCACUGCGCCCCGAUCCAGCGCCCCAACCAGACCUAGUACGUUAAAUGCACGGAGGAAUCGAUGUUGCUGUGGAGGUUCGACCCCAGGACCUGACGGUCCUGAGGACGAGGCGCCAACCACCAGCCCAUCCACGUGGGGGCACGGGACUCGGUUUAUCGGUGCACAUGAAAUUAGUCCUGCAAUUUAAUUUAUGUCAACAAAUUAAAGUACCACAUUACUAGCAGAGAGUACUACUACAAUCCGAUUCAUUCAAGCCACCACGCCCCUAAUAUAACCACAUUUGACUCUACCGGCCUAACCCGCCAUCAGGUCUUCCCCAAAGAUGAACCCGCCACCUCCUUUCCCUCCUUUUCACCCUCUGCCACCACCUCCCCCACCUUCCACCACCACCACCGCCGCAGCUCCCGACCUCCCCACCGCCCUCUCCAAUCUCACUUCUCUCCUCCACCACACUCAAGCCACCCUAAACUCCCUCGCUUCUCUCCUCCCACCUUCACCUCCAUCCGGCGCCCUAAUCCCUUGCCCUUUUAACACUAACCACCGCCUUCCCCCUUCCUCCAUCUUCUCGCACUACCUCUCUUGCCCCUCAUCCCCGAGCCCCCUGGACCCCCAAGCUCUCCUUCACUCUCUGAACUACCCCAAAACCCUCCAUUCUUCGUCGGAAAACUCCUUCACCCAGCCCCUCCAGAAUCCUAGCUCUACCGAACUCUGCUUUUCGCUAGAAAACUAUUUGAAUUCACCUCAAGAAAGUCAUUUUUAUUCUAAUUGUCCUGGGGCAGUUGUCAUUACUCCUUGUAAAUACGAUUUUUCAUCCUCUCCACCUCCUAUGCUCACAUUGCCCGGGUUUUUAUCCGCGGAAUGUGCUAAUUUUACACACGCUAAUGGGCGUUUAGAUGAUAAGGGUUUUGAUGUGUGGCCCAUUAGGCUUCUCCCUUCGGAGAUUUGGGCUGUUGGGAAUGAAAUUGAGGCGUGGGUUGAUUAUCCUUGCUCGUAUUCAUAUAGAGUGCUAAGAUGUAUUUUGAGGUCGUGGAAGAGUAAUUUGUCAUUUUUGCACCCAUGGAUUAUCGCGAAUUCACCCAAAUAUGGCGUGGUUAUUGAUUUGGCAAUGGUCCCUCAUAUACUCUUAUUGUUUAGGUUUUGUUUGAAAGCUGUCACUAGGGAAGCUAUUGGUUUUUUGGAUUCUUUAAUUAGUAGCAAAAGGCAGGAUAAGAUUCAUUGUCCGGUUUUAAGUAAAGUAAUGAUGUGGUUAGGCUCCCAACUUGCUCUGUUGUAUGGUGAAACUAAUGGAAAGUUUUUGGCUAUUGGCAUGUUCAAACAAUGUGUUUUGGAUUCAGCAUUGAGCUCUUCAUUUUUCCCUGUGGCAGAGAUAUCCAAUGAAUCCGCUAAAUUGAAUGAACUGGAUGAUAAGCUUGAAGGGCCAGUUGAAAAGUGUGGGAAGAAUGAGGGAAAUAGCAUGUUGCAUGACACUGUUCAAAGCAGCAUGAUUUUUGCUUCCCAGGUAGCUGCUGCUGCUGCUUCAUUGUACGAGAGGUCUUGGCUUGAAGAGAAAAUUAAGAUGUUAAGGGAUACACGGCCACUUACUGCAUAUCAACGGUAUGCUGCUGUGAAUUUGCUUGAAAUAAGUAGCUUUUCUAUUUUGUCAAACUUAUGAUGCUAAUAAUAAAUAGGAUGGAGCUGUAAAUGUGUUAGAGUGUUGGUUAAUUUGGACCAUGGCUGUAGAUGUGUGUUUUAGCUACUUAAGAUUUUGCUGUAUUUGCUGGUUCUUUGCCUCUUUCUCAAAUAAAUAACUAGGAAAUUACAUGGGUUAUUUACUUGGGAGGUGGCAGACAGUUAUUCACUUUGGUUAUUCAAAUGGGUUAUUUAUUUUGGUUGUUUUUGAUAGACGUAUUUGUCAAGUGAGACAACAUGGAAAUUUGUUAGCACUUAGUAGCUAAUGGAUCUCGACGUUAGGCGGAAAGAGGCUUGAGAACCUUUGUUCUUGACUUGAUGUUUCUUAAAAUCCUUGAGACUUGACUUUGUAGUGGAACUAUUUUCAAUUCUUUCAGAUCUCAAAUUUUCUCUAGGUAGUUUAAGAUUGUGGUGAUAGAAAAUAUUGUUGUAUGAUUAGAUAACUACUUGGUAGAAGCUGUCUAUAUAGUUGCUAAUUUGUGCCCUGUGGUUUUUACAGUAUGUGCUAGUAAAUACUGUAAAUUUCAUUCCAAUUUUCAUUUUAUCUCAUCUUCUUCUUUUUUUUCUUUGUGUCUUCUUUGAAUGAAUCUAUUCAUUGAACUGCAUGUGGAAGCUUCUUAAGGAGCUGAUUUGUUUUGUAGAGCUGUAGAACAUGAACACAUAUCUAGGAGAGCUGAUGAGGAGCUGCUGAAACGUUCUGACUAUAGACCUGUAAUUGAACAUGAUGGGGUACUCUGGCAACAGGCACAUAGCGAGGUAAGUUGGCUAAAUGAGCCUAUCACUUAACAUAACUGUGGUAGAUUGAAUUUAAAUUGUUUUAAGAUAUUAGGCCUUGCAACUAUAGUAAUAUAAAUAUUGACAUGUGAAGGAUGGAUCUUUGAGGAUUAAAAGAUGAAUUUCAAAUAACAUAUAUUGUCUUUGAUGGCCAAGACAACUUCUUUUGCAUAUGGAACCUCAUUUUAGUUUAUCUCAUGAAAAACUUUAAGCAUAGGAGUUCUGUUUUAAAUGAAAUUUUGAAUCCAUUUGGGAGUCUGAUAAUUUUUGUACUGUUAUUUGCAUUAUUCUUUGUUCUGGGAGUGGGAAGUGACUUUUUUUUUCUUUUUUUUUUUCAAAUACUGCUUGUUAUUAAGUCAAAUUUAGAAAAUUUCCAACUUGACUACAAAUGAUGCUGCAAUAUCCCUUAAGCCCCGCGCAUUUUAUUGGUUCUUCCCUACUGGUGAUGAGGCAAGUUAAAUUUAUCUUUUAAAACAAAAAGUUUGCUAACCAUUUGGAUUUCUGCUGGUACUUUGGCAAAGAGUGUUAUGGCAACAUGAUGCCUUUCUGUGUGUGCUUAUUGAUAACAAGCUAUCCUGUUCUUUAUGUGCAUUCUUCUUCUUAAUAUUCUCAGUAUAUGUGCAGGUGCCUAAUAGACUAAAAACAAGAGAAGAGUUGCUGGCUGAGGAAAGAGAUUAUAAACGACGUAGAAUGUCUUACCGUGGCAAAAAGAUGAAACGAACAACAACGCAGGUAAAACGCAGUUUAGGUCCAGCAUGAUGGUAGUUUUGGUUUAGAUUUCUUUGAUAAAAUGUCUUAGAUAGACUCUUUUGUCAUUACAUGAUGCAUUUUGAGGCUCACUACCUCCCUCAUUAAAAGUCUAUGGAGAUCCUGGUGUUCAUGACCUGAGGGUUAAUGUUUACAAUCCUUUAGCAGGAUUUAAUUAAUAUUUCCAAACAUUCCUUGUUUGAAUUGAAAUCGUCAAUCAAGUUAGUUUGUGUUGUAGUUAUUGCAUUAUCAUUAAUGGAAAAUUGAUAGGUUCCUCGUUUGAAUUGAAACCGUCAAUCAAGUUCGUUUGUGUUGUAGUUACUGCAUUAUCCUUAAUGAACAAUUGAUAGGUUUGUCUUUGUGAGCUUAAGUUAUUCUACUAGGGUGGCUUAUGUGUGUUGACAUGACACAGACUGUGAUGGUUGCUUUUCUACUUGUACUGCCUUCUUGGUGGUGUUUCUUUUUACAGUAUGCCAUUUGCACGCAUUCCAUCUUUGACGAUGCCAAAUUGGUUAUCCUUCCUUCAGGUGAUGAGAGAUAUAAUAGAUGAAUUCAUGGAUAAAAUUAAGCAAGCCAGUGGUCAUAGUUUUCCAAAAGACGGUGAAAACACAGAAGCAAGGGCUUUCGAAGGUUCUUCUCUGCACAACAGUUCUUCAGAUACUCUUAAGCCUAGGAAAAGUGAAACAAAACUUGAGCUGAUCAGAAAUGAACAACAUGUUUAUGGAGCAUCUUUACAUUCUAAUCAUGCUCGUGGAUCCAUACAUUCUGAAGAUAAGUAUAUUGAACAUUAUAAGCAACACAAACGUACUUCUCAGCGGCAUGGUGAAAGUUUAGAUGACAACAGAAGUACUAAAAGGUCAAGACAUGACAGAGAGAGUUAUUCCAGAAGCCCAGAUCGACAGCGAAGUGGCUACCAUUUGCAUGGUUAUACAAGGAAUAGAGGGAGCCGAGAUGAUCCUGAAAGUUCUAGGGCAGCUAUCUCCAGAAGCUCAGAUACAAGUCGCAGCAAGUCAACUGAGCGAAAGACUCGCCGAAGAGAGGAUGAUGGGCGUAAUUCAGAACUUAGAAAUAGAGACAGAAGGAAGAAGCACAAUGAUAUCACAUCGGGUUCAGAGUUUGAGGACAGAUAUAAUCCCUUGGAAUCGCAUGAUGAUUAUGAUGAUGAUGCUUAAACCUUGCAGCUAUUUUAUUGAUUCACAUCUGCAAUGCUUGGAUAAUUUGAAGCAGUUCAAUGUCUUCCAUGAUGGCUUUCCUGAACUAUCUUUGAGAUAUUGAGUGGCUCUCUUGGUAAUUUGGUAAGUUAUUAUUAACAAAAGAUAAUUUCCUGUUUAGUGUUUCAGGCAGCCAGUUAGAUUUUUCAUUUCCUCUUUGGCUUUUCAAUGAUGGGGCAGUACGAUUUCUGACAGGUGUUGCAGUUUGUCCACUCCUGUAUCCUCUUCUGUAUCCUUAGUUGUUAAAAGCUUUCUGGACAUCAAUUUUCUUCUGAAUGCAUGGCUUUAGUGUUUCCACAUGCAUUAAAGCAAAUAUUGUAUUUCCUUGCUUCUUGGUCUGUGCGUUCUGUUCAUUUGUGCGUGCUCAUCUGUCAUAUCUAUUUAUCUCAGUAUGACAUGCUUCUGCUAUUGUGAAUUUGGCUAAUUACAGGUUGGCAAUACCUUUAGUUGGAUGAAAAGGUGCAGAGUAUUGUGUGCGCUAUGAAUGUGUAGCAUUAGCAUGCUGGUUUCUGAGGUUUGUAGGGGAAGGAAGAAAGUGAGGUCUUUCUUCUAAGCAAGCAAAGCUUGCAUGGUUUGCGCUACUUGUUUAUCAUUGUCUUGCCAUCCUUGAUUGGUUGCAUGAUGUUUACCAGCCUUGUUGUAUUUACUGCAAAGAUCUUGAUUGUAUAUUUAAAAGUUCUGAGCCUCAUUUAGAUCCUUAGGUUACAUAGGCUGAGUCCUCGUUUUUUAUUUAUUUUUAGUUAAAUUGUUUUGGUUUAUAGUCAUUCCAAUCCGAGGGAUAAUUGACAAAGCGACUUCAUUACUAAGGGACGUGUAAAUUCACAACUGUGGUGCUCUUAAGAAAAUCCUCUGUCUCAGCAGCCCUUCACGCCAAAAUAUGAAGACAGCCAACGAACUAAGCCAUAUUCUUUCUUUCCCCUCCUUUUUUACUUCUAAAUCUCCAACUCUGUGAACGAUCUGAUGCAACUGAUAAGCCUUCCAAAUCUGGAAAAUAUCCGUUCUCAUGGUAGUCUCAAUGGCUGGAGUAACAUUCUUCCUCAAUUAACCAAACCAGUCAUCUCCCUCCUCCUCGCUCAUCUGUAGCGCUGCUUCAUCUUCGAUAAACCUCGGAACCACCUCGGACUCUGCAUUCCUCUUCUGCUUCCUCUGAUCUUGCCUUCUUCUUUCCUCUCUGAUGUUUUGACAAGAACGAUGACCACUGCUUCUCCACCGCUAUGUAAAUAAUAAUCCUUGAGGGCAUUGUAAAGUCUGUACGCACACCAGUGGUUGAUACUGUCAUGGUAUACAACAAGAUAUUCAGAUUUCUGUAGUAGACAAGCAAACUGGGGAGUGGUAAAUGCAACUUUCAUAUUCUCCCUCAAUAGCAGCACGAUCCGACACCACCAAAUCAUCCUCCUUCAACCGUAAAUUAUCCACCAUUCGCUGGCUUACCUCUUUCGACCCACAGGCAGCUCCUGCGAAUGCCGGCGUUAGAGGGAUGAGGAGGAUAUCGUGCAGCGACGCUUGAGCUGAUUCAGUUCCCUGCCCCUCUCAGAAAGCUUAUCUGAGCCAUAGAACAUUGGAAGCAGAAGUCUUAUGUGUAUUAAUGUUCAACGCUCCUGUAUGGAAAAAAAAAAAAAAAAAAAUUCUGCAUGUAUUUAUUGUACAGAAUCUGUGCAGCAUUAAUACUAACUUUCUUUGCACGGAUCAAGGUGGAACCGUUGCUUGCGCAAAUAGAUGAUCUAAUUAAAGUUUGGCGAAUUCAGAUAUAAAUCAAAGAAUAAAAAAACAUAUUCCCGAGAAAGAGUUAAUCAAGAAGAACCAAAUCCCUAGUUAGUUUGUGUUUCAAGUGCAUGCAUGCUUCACAAUGAGGUCCAUAAUUCUGCUUCUAUGAUACUCCCUCCCUUUUUUUAUAAUUGACGUUUAAGGUUUUGCACACCAAUUAAGAAAAGUUUUUCAUUGUUUAAAUCUAUACACUACUUUCCUUUUAUACUCUCAUUAAUUGUCCAAUUCACUUAUGUUUUCUCUCACUAGAGUAUUAAAUGGUGCUGUUUUACUAGGCCAAAAGCAAAGAGAGAAGUAAUAAUUACUAGGAGUAGUAAUUAAGAGUCCUGUAUUGGUAAAGAGAGAUAAAAUGGCAAAAUUGUGAAAAAAUAAUUAAUGUUACAUGGGAAUAAUACAACAACAGAUAAAAGUACUUAAGAACAAAUUUCUUAAACGUCAGUUAUAAAAAAAGAGAGGGAGUGCAAGUCUUGGUGUGAUAUAGUAGGAGGAUCUGUAAAUUCAAUGGUGCUUGUGAAUUGUGCCUAAUUAAUUUGGAGAGAAAGGUGUAAGAAUACACACACCUAACACACAUUUAAAAAAUUUAAGGAGGAGGACACACGAUGAGGUCCACAUCCACGCAAGGACAAGACCCAAGCUAUAACUAAAAGUGCACCAGCAUUGUAGGACCGAGCUGUAUAGUUUUAAUGGCGUUUCUGGCUGAUUGGGAGUUCACUUCAUGGAUUGCCGCCGCCCAUGUUGGAAGUUGGAGGAGGAGGAUGGGGGGUUUUCUGGUUCAAUCUCCAAUGAGAAUGAUUGGGCAACUUUGGAAAGGCAGCGUCAAAAAAAUCGUCCACUGAUGCUGGUGAUGAUGAUAGGUAGAAUCUUCUUAGCAUCAAGAAAGAGGCAACAAAAUACCUUCGCUUCUGACACUGGUGUCCACUCUGUCUGGCGCUGCGAACUGUCUUUUUUCCAAAUUCUGCUUAUCUGCUACGUGUAAGCCCCGUGUUAAAGUUGGAAGAAGUCGGGAGAUGUCACCAUCUCCGAGAAGACAUACAAGCACGUGUAGAGCUGCACCCAAUGAAACGAAUAUAGUAAACUCUUGCCUUGUUCUAUUAUCACCACCACGUUGCUUGUCGAUCUAUCUAAUAUCUAUCUGUUGCUAUACUUUGACUUCUACUCUCAGAUGGUUAAUUAACCUGGAGGUCGACAAGAACAAAAGGCAAUUAAUAGAGGGCGGGGGGAUUUCCUCCCCAUCACUUUGAUGCCGAAAUUAACCUUCCAAGUGUUAGAAGGGCUCUCGACAGAGGAGAAUUGAGAUGACAUCCAUCGUUUGUAAAUAGAGGGCGGAGUUAUUAGCCAUUGAAUCCAGUGUCCGUAGAUUGUAAACAUUCCUUGUUGUUUGUUCAGCACUACUUAUUAUCACAGUGCAUCAGGUUGAUUUAGGUCUCGCAUCAAUCGGUCGCAUCAUGCAUAUCUAUCUUUUUUAGGCAUCUCAAAUCUAUUCUGUAUAUUUCCGUCAAAAAAUCACGUCGUUUUCCGUAAUCCCGUUUCUCUAUUACCUUUUCUCCUCACAUACAUCAAAUCGCUACAGUAAUUUUUCCAUGAAAAAUGCAAUCCAAACACAACCUUAAAUCUUCUCGAUACAAUUCGAGCCCAAGGUGUUUGUCGAGGUUGCGGUUUGGGUCCCACAUCUAGCAUAAUUAAGGUUUCGUUUGAGCAUUUUUCUUUUACGAUUUCUGAAAAAUAUUCUAUACACACAUUUAUAGUCGCAUUUUUAUUUUAUACGCAUAACAUAUUAAAAAAUUUUUUAUAAAUUUUAUUUCUAAACUAGUGUUAUAUACACACCGACAACGUAUGCAUUAGCCGGUAUAAACGUACGUCAUACAUACAUGCAAGAAGUGAAGUUUAAAUUUGAAUUAAAAUUACAUGCCAUGCAUCCAUACUCACAGUUAGCACAUACAUACACUAACAUCAGCACGUACAGCAUCAAGUCAGUAGCGGAUCUAAAGCUGGUUAGACGUUAAAAUGAGAAGCCGUCCUAGAACCGAAUGUUACACGCGUUUGGAAACCAAAAUAACUUUUUAAUUGUAUAAGCCGAGUACCAAAUGAGGGUCAGUUGGGGUUGGUUGCGUUACAGGCGUAGCGACAAUAUAAUAAUUGUAUCAUGCGGCAUGGGUCGCUCCCUCAUUCGCGGACGUCCGUUCACCACCGUCACCACGAAAGGACGCAUGCCAUUGCCAAGUGCCAAUUGCCGUGCACAUUCUAACAUUUUCCUGCGCCCAUCUGAUUCUAUUUCCUUCUUUGAUGAGUUUCUCUUUUACAUGGUCAAUCGAGCAAUUUAAAUUAGAACAAGGCCGACCUUCACACUUUUAGUAGCCACCAAGCUUUGGCUCAAUGCCCGCUAAAAAAAAUGAUUUUAUCUCUUUUUGAAUUGUAGGUCGUAAGUUUGAAUCUCACCUGCAGCGAAAAAUCCCUUUAGUCCAGUCGAAUCUGUAUACUUGUUGAUUCUUUUUUUUUUUUCCAUAAAAUAUGAUAGAUUAUGAUAUAGAAAUAAAUUCAAAAGAGAUGUCUGAAAAAUUGGGUUAUAGGAUGAGAUAGAUUAAAUUAUGGUUGCAGAGGAGGGGUUCAAAUCUCACCUGUUUUGAAAAAAAUUUAAAAAAGGUGGCAGAGCGCACUUCUAGUCUAAUCGAAUCUGUAUAACUACUAAUCCAUUGUACAGUCUCUUUAGCCUCCUCCUCCCUAUAGAAUAAAAUAGAUUAUGUUAUAAAAAUAUCAUCGUUGCGCGGGAGAGGGGGGUUUGAACCUUAACUACUUUGAAUUUACUUUGAAAAAAAUUCAAGGAGGUAUCAAAAUAUCCCAUUCAUCUAUCUCAUCUAUAUAUUUGCUAGCAUUUUAUACAGUCUCUUUAAAUUCCUCCUCUUACCCCGUACACAGAUUCUUUAGAUUCUCCCCUCCUAUAAAAUAUGAUAUAUUAGAUUAUAAGAAUGCUAUCACUACAGUUAAAAGAUAUAUAUAUAUAUAUAUAUAUAUAUAUAUAUAUAUAUAUAUAUGCUAAUCCUCUCAUUUCACGUGGCUUUCUCAUGGAAUAUAAGUUUGGCCAAUUUCGUGCUUGCCUCAUUUUAUGAUUACAAAAAGUGUCACUUCAAAGUACUUUAGUUUGUCUUCCACUCACAUUGUGACUCCCAUGAUGAUUCUUUGACUCGCAUCCGAGUAAGGAUAACAAAUUUCAGCCAUGGGAUUUCCGCAAGAAGUUGUUUUUAAGAACAGUAAGAACAUGACAAAGAUCCAAUUUCGUAAUCAUUCAUUUUUUUGGCUAAAUUUAAAAAGAAAGGAAUUUUGUCUUUGCUAUCCAUUUCUAGUUACUAAUUCAUAUUAAUUUCAAUAAUUGGAAGGGAAACAAAAAAAAAAAAAAUUGUAAGCCACUAAAUCUGCUCUGUGUUGAAAGGUUAAUUUGUGCUCUAGAAUUAAUAGAAAAGGACAGCACCAUUCAGUAGUACUGUAGCUUUCAAGUCCAUGCAUAUAAAAUAUGAAAAGAAGACAAUAUAGGCACAUCCUUUUCUACGUUUCCUAAAAUUACAUUAGUGUUAAGAGACAUAAAAGAAGCAUAAUAAUAAUAUCCAGUUUUCAAGAUAAAAGAAAUUUUAUCAUUCAAUAUAUAUAUUUAUCCACGAAAGGUUUUUUUUUUUAUUCAUCAAAAACAAACAAAAAAAUGAAAAAGAAAGAGGGGGUAGGAGGGCAGUCUUCUUCCUUUGAUAAUGAGAGUGAGGUAUAGGACUGGGGUAUGGUCACUCUUUAUUCUUUAAUUCUUCAAUCAAAUAGUAGACAAUUAGUAAAGUUAACAGACCAAUUUUUGACCAAUCAAAUCCCAUGAUGACCACUACAUUAGUCUAGAACUUCUCAUUAAAAAAAAAGAAAGAAAAGCAGUCACAUAUCACCCCUCAGCAAGAAAUUGACUCGUAUAAUCCAAUUAUCAUGCACUAAAAUAACCAAUCAACUGUUGAAUAUAAUAAGGGUUUAACAAUCCACGUCUGAGUUAUAAUGUUAAGGGAAAAUCGUCCAAAACGACCCUCACAUUUUGUAAAAUGAACUUUUUUCAUCCCUCACUUUUAAAACUCUAAUUUUACGUCUCUUACAUAUUCACAUCGGUCAAAUUUAGUCCCUAACUAGGUUUUCGAUCAUUUUUUUUGCAGGAUUUCAUCUCGUGCAAGACACGUGAUCAUUUUUUAUGGGUAAAUUUAUCAAAUUAUAUUUUGCAUAAUUUUAUCUAUAGUCCCCCACAUUUCAUAAAAUAAAUUUUUUCGUCCCUCAUAUUUUAUAAAAUGACUUUUUUCAUCCCUCAUAUUUCACAAUAUGAAUUUCUCCAUCCCUCACAUUUCAAAAAAUAAUUUUGUCAUUCCUCACUAAUUAUGUGUGUGAAUACAUUUUUUUUUAAACACAUGCAUAUGUUUAUUUGAUUUCGUUUAAUAAUACGAAUAGCAUAAACACAUGUAUGUGUCUAUUUGAUUUCACUUAACAAUACGAAUAGCAUGUAUUAUAUGCGAUCAUUUGAUUUCAUUUGGUAUUAGAUAAUAAAAAAUUUUGCAUUCAUUGUUCAGUUGGCCAAUAAAGCUAUUUUCUGUCAAAAUACAAUAAGAAUAUGCAAAUUAAGGUUCUAUUGGUAAAUAUUAGUCAGAAUCAUACAAAAAGAUAAGAUAACCAACAAGCUGGGCGCAAUUACAUAAAUAAUUGUUAAUGUCCUACCUAUAACAAGCUAUAGCCAUAUUAACAAUUAUUCAUUUUUUGAAAUGUGAGGGAUGGAGAAAUUCAUAUUAUGAAAUAUGAGAGAUGAAAAAAAUCAUUUUAUAAAAUAUAAAGGACGAAAAAAUUUAUUUUAUGAAAUGUGAGGGACAAUAAAUUAGAUUAUGCAAAAUAUAAUUUGACAAAUUUAUCCCUAAAAAAUGAUCACGUGCCUUGCACAUGAUGGAAUCCGGCAAAAAAAUGAUCGGAAACCUAGUUAGGGACUAAAUUUGACCGAUGUGAAUAUAUAAGAGACGUAAAUUUACAUUUUUAAAAGUGAGGGAUGAAAAAAGUCAUUUUACAAAAUGUGAGGGACGUUUUGGACGAUUUUCCCUAAUGUUGAAAUUACCAAUGCCUUGAAGAGAUGCAAUUAAGGUAUAUGACUCAGUCAAUUGAUAUUACUUUUCUUCGCUUCACAUGACAUGAUAAUAACAUUUGUCAUAUAAAAAGGAGAUUUUGGAGCUGGUUACUGUGGAUGUUGCAAAGUAGUAAAUGAUAUCUUGUAGAUAGAUUUGUAUGUACUGAGCAAUGCCAAUUUAAUAAUGAACAGUAAGACAAUAUUACCAUCUGAUUUAGCCAAUUUAAUAUCACGUAUUUGUACGUCGUUGAUUUUUUUUUUUUUUUUAAGAAGGCUUAACUGAGUUGUGCUUACUUAGACACUCUUUCAGUGAGACCUCAGUUUUAUUUAUUUAUUUUUUUGGUAGAGGAAAACUUAAUUGAAGAGAAUGUCCAAAUGGAAGAAUACGAUAAAUGCAGAUUUGCAAGUUAAGUGCAAUUCAAUCAGAAAAAUUCAUAAAUAUUAGUUGUCAAUUCUUUUAGGAAUAUGUAAUUCAUUUGAAAAAAAAAAAUCUAAAUGGAGAUGGUACAAUAAUUGUAACUAGCUAUUGAGACACAUUCGCAUGUGCAACUUGUCAAAAAAUAUUUUUAAUUGAAAGAAUCACAAAAAUAGUGCAAGCAAAUAUAACUAUUUUAUGUAAUAUGUAAUAAAAAAAAAAGUGUAUUAUACAAAAAUAUGUACAAUUAAAAGUAAAAAAAAAACCAUCUGUAAGGGACAACGUGAGAAUUGGGGGAAAAUAGUUUACAAAAAAAAAAAAAACUGGAUGUAAUUUAAGUAUGAGUAUCCACUGACCAUCCGUUAGAAAAAUCUUUAGAAAAAAGAAUAAAAAAUGCAUCUAAUGGGUGGUUCAUUUAUCAAAAGGUUUUGUUCAUAAAUGUAAAUGUUAACAUCAUAAGAUAAUUAUACCGUGUGUGAUUUACCAAUAACAUAUAUUAUUAACCUUUACAAGAACCCACCACUUCACCCAGGGCCAUAGCAAUUUUAUAUACACUUUAUAUUAGGACUGUCAGUUGGAUCGGACCAGUCCGAGUUCGGCUCGUUUGCCCCAAAAAAUGUCUGAUGAGUUCGACCUUUUAGUGAGUUAAUCUAAGGUUGAGUCUAAAAAAUAAGUCCGAAUUAAAUAUGAGCCGAGCUUGGAUCUCAUUAGGCUCACACCUGAUAUAGGUCUGGCCCGAUUUAUAUAAUAUUUAUAUUUUGAUAUUAUGUAUAAUUAUAUAUCCAAAUAUAUUAUUACUAAAUACUAAAUAUAUACAAAUUACAAAAUACAAAAAUACAUCUGAAAACUCUUCUACGAGCUUUCUUGAGAGAUAAUAUUAGUAAUACAUAAUUGAAUCUCUAACUUUUUUGAUUGGUUGAUUUCUUUUUGAUCUAUAAAUACAAAUCAUCAAGCAUGUUUGGAUUCAAAUCACAACACUAUAAAAGAAGUUCCAACUUUUGAAAAUGUAUUAGCUUAUGACUGCAUGUUUUAUUAUUAUUUUUCAUGUAUUUUGAACGAAUUAGAUAUAAAUAUUGUUGAAAAUUUUUUGGUUUAUAUACUUUUUAAGAACUAUUACUUGUUCAUGUUUAGUUUUAAUGUUAUAGUUUUAUAAAUGUUAAAUUAGUUUUACAACUUAAUAGUUAUAGUAAUUAUAUUAAGAAAAUUGAGAUGUAAUAAGUGAAAUUGAGCUAAACUCAAAUAAGGCUCAUAACCUAAAUAUUAUGUGAAUUAAAUAUGAGUUUCACAUUUAUUAAUCUAAAACUCAUAACUCGAAAUUUGAAAAUAUUACAAAUUAAAUGAGUUGAAUUUCGAAUUUACGAAAGUCCGGCUCAUUAGCCCGGAUUGGCAGGUCUACUUUAUACAGCAGCAAGAGCCGGUUCAGAUGAAUGUAAACUUAUAAUGCAUUUUUCACCGCUCACCAAAUCAUUCACUAAUUAGUAAUUAAUUUGGGGUUAUCCCCCAACCAGAGAUUAUCUGUCUAUUAAUAGAAAUGUACACUUUCCUUUAGAAACCUUGUUCCCCUGUUUAUUCUACCGACACAUGGUGAAGAGUAAAAGUCAAGUAGGAGGAAUAAUAGUCGUAUUUGUUUCGUAAUUCCCCGAGUAAAGUCCAGGAGGCGCCGACGACCUCAUCCCAUCGAGCCAUCUCCACAAUUUCAAAAUCCACCAACAAAAGGGGUUCUUUUAUAAAAGACGACAAAGCAAGAAAAGAGAGUAUGGAAGAAGAACUAGUUGUUGUUGUCCUAGUAGAGUAGGCUUAUGCAGGACACCACCAACUUUCUUCUUCUUGUUUAUUCUUGAAUUCCAACCGCAGUUUCCAUUCUUCUUUUUGCUUAAAUCCCUGUUCCCAAUUUGUAUUUUCAUAUUUUGUGGUGUAGAUAAGAUGGCCAAGACAACAACAGAAAAAGGGGCGGUUUUGGAAGUAAAAACUACAGCAGAACAGCUCAAGAGGGAACUGCAGAUAUUGGUACAGAGUAUUGUGGAAGAAGAUGAUUAUGCAUUGGAAGCCGCUGAUCGUGCCAUGCAGGCUCUGUCUUGUUUGAAAGAAUUGAAGUUGAAGCAUUCCAACCCACAAAGCCUUUUGCUUACUCUUCCACCUCCUGAAUUUAGAUGUCCUCUUUCUGGACAACUCAUGAUUGACCCUGUUGUCAUAGCCUCUGGCCAGGUUGGUAGAUUCCCUAUUAAUCUUCUGUUCAAGAUUGAAACUUUUUCUUGGUGUCUUUGAUAUUUCUUGAAACUUUUUCUUGGUGUCUUUGAUAUUUCUGUCUUUUCAUUCAAUUUUUCUUGUUAAUUCUCCCCUUUUCUUGUGAUUAUUUGGUGUUCAAAGGUUCAAAAUUCUCUUUUUUCUUGUCAAUGCCAGUGUCUUCUUCUUUGAUUCUGAGAUUACUAGAAAUGUAUAAAGUAAUCAACCAACAAAAACUUAUUUCUUCUAGUAAGACUCUUGCGGAUCAUUGGUCACCACUUGUGCCUUGUCUGCAGGAUAUUAAGUGUUUUUUUAAAAUUUCAUGUUUUAAAGACUUUCAAUAGCUUUCACCGUUCUGGCAAAAGAACGUACAGGUUUGUGACCAAGUGUAAAUAGUUAAUUAAUUAGUGAACAGUGACAUGAGGUAGGGGUUAUGCACUUCUUUAUUAAAGUACGGUUGAUGUGACAAUGGAGGAAAAUCUGAUAGGGUUAUGCCUCAUUUUUUUUUUUUUUUUUUUUAAACAAUUGUCUUGUUAAAGUCUCGUAGAUCAUGAAGUAAACAUGGACCAACAAAACCAGUGGCGCAGAAAUAUCUGUGGUCAUCCCCCAGAAGGUUUUUUUUUUCCAUGCAUUAUUGUAGUAGUGUAGGUCCAUGAACAUUGUCACCUUACUGGCAGAAUUUUCUAGGCUGGCGAAAUUUUCAAAAUGUCAGGUUGAAUCCUUUCAGUGAUGUUUGAAUUUGAUGAAAGUAAAUUUUCAAUUAUUACCGAUUAUGCAUUGUGAAUAGUCAGAAGCUAAGCAAAUUUGUUGGGGCAAAUUGAAUUUCGUCACUGUAGUUCAGCAAUUGGAUUUCCAGAUUUUAGGCUGUGCUGAAAUGUUGUGUCAUUAUCAAGAGAGCCAACAUUUGUGACCUGUUCUGCAGACGUUUGAUCGGCCAUUCAUCCAAAACUGGCUGAAUGAGGGAAAUCGGACCUGCCCUCAAACAGAACAAGUUCUUUCGCAUAUGAUUCUGGUUCCUAAUGUCCUGCUCAAGGAUAUGAUUUGUAGAUGGAGCAGAGAACAUGGAAUUCAGCUUCCUACCCUUGUACAAGAUGUUGAUGAAGAAAAAGCAAUUGCAAAUGCUGACCAAGGACGUUUGAGUUCGCUGCUUGAGAAACUUUCCUCGUCUGCUGUUUCUGAUCAGAAGAUUGCAGCAAAAGAGAUUAGGCAACUAACAAAGCGGUCACCAUCUUUCCGAGUUCUCUUUGGGGAGAUUACUAAUGCCAUUUCCUAUUUGAUUGAACCACUUGCAUCAGGGAAGCCUGAUAUUGAUCCUGAUUUAGAAGAGGAUUUGAUCACAACAAUUUUGAAUCUGUCAAUACUUGACACUAACAAAAAGUUAUUUGCUGAGAAUCCAGCAGUGAUUCCUCUUCUUAUUGAGGCCCUCAAAUUUGAAAGGAUCGAGACAAGGAGCAAUGCUGCUGCAGCUCUUUUCACGCUAUCAGCCAUUGAUUCAAAUAAAUACAUGAUUGGCGAAUUGGGCGCUCUCAAGCCUUUGAUUGAGCUUCUGGAAGAAGGACAUCCACCAGCAAUGAAGGAUGCAGCUUCAGCAAUCUUCAGUUUAUGCGUUGUUCUUGAGAACAAGAGUAGGGCGGUGUCUGAUGGAGCGGUUGGGGUCAUUAUGAAGAAGAUCGUUGAUCAUUUGCUCAUGGAUGAGCUCUUGGCUAUUCUUGCAAUGCUGGCCAGCCAUCAGAAGGCGAUUGAGGAGAUGGCGGAACUCGGUGCGCUGUCUUUCCUGCUCAAUGUCAUCAGGGAGAAAACAAGCGAGCGCAACAAAGAGAACUGCAUUGCAAUCCUCUAUACAAUGUGUUUUAACGACAGAGCAAAAUUGAGAGAGAUCAGAAAAGAGGAGGAUGCAAAUGGGACUAUUUCUCAGCUUGCACUGAAUGGAACUUCAAGAGCCAAAAGGAAGGCGCUCGGCCUUCUGGAGCGAAUAAAUCGAUAUGCUGCCAUUUCCAACACUGCUUGAAAUAGAUCUUCUUAGGCCAUUGUACAUUCCUUUCACCCAUCGUAAGUAACCAUGCUUCAUUCUAUACCUACACCUAUCAUAAGUUUUGUGUAAAACUAUACAAAAUAAAUUCACCGUAGUUUCCUAUCCAUUUUAGAAAGUCCCGUACCCUGCUGUUUUCACUGCGCCAUGUGCAUACAGGAAUGUGGGAAACUGUAGAUCCCCCAUAUGACAACUCUUUCAUGGGACUUAACAUGACAUGCACAGUGUCUCUUGAUUUUGUCAAAUUGCUUCAUUAAUCACAUUGCUGGUCUAACAUUUACGGCAAUAGGAUAGAAUUUGCAAGAAUGAAGGAUAUUUCUCCUUCACACUAUUUGGUCUUGAAUCAAUUUGGUAGAGAAUCAAAUCAAUGUCUCUUCUAUGGUGCUGCCAGAAUCACUCCAAUAAAGCAAUUAUGCUUUAACUGCUCUGAUCACGCGGAAUUUUGUCUGGGUUCACUUAACUGCUGAUGAUGCUAUCGCACCUGUUUCACUUGGCCUUUUGAUAUAAGCUUACAAAUCCAUCUAUAGAUUGAUACAGAAGCUAGCUUACAGUGGAAUGACAAAUUGAGGGAGCGUUGUACCUACAUUCAUGUCAUAGAGAUGGUAAUCUUGUUUUGUGCCUGAGGUUGGUUUUAGGUGGAAGUGGAAUCAUUUUCAAAGACACAAGUUUUUACUUUUGGACUUUUGCAAAAGCCUCCAAAUAUCAUCAAUACUAUUAACCAAUGGAAAACAAAAAUAAUAAUGUGUUUAAAAGGGAGAAUAAUUCUGGUUAGAAAGCAUCCCCUGUUGGCUUUAACUAUGUAAAGUACCAAAUCCAGCACAAAAACAAGGAGAACAAUACAUUUGUACAGUUUCUGUGAAGGUUGAAGGAAAGGAAAUCAAAUCAGACGAUAAGAUUUUUUUUUUUUAAUUAAAUUUUUUAUCUUUUGUUCUUGGUGAGAAAGGAGGAGGAUAAGGUAGCCUUUUAGAAAGGCAUGAUAGAAUAAUGGGAGCAGCCAAGUGCUCAAGUGCCCCUUUUUUUUUCCCCUCUGUGUGUUGUGUGUGUGUGUGUGAUGUAAAUAGCUACAUAAAGAAAACAAGCCUUUUCUUGUUUCUACUACUUGCUUUUGGUUGGGUGGUCCUUAAUAAGCGGAAUCCUUCUAGGAAUUUGACAAGCAAUACCUAUUUUUUUAAGAUAUGAUUAGGACAUUUUGGGAGUACUUUUGAAAAUGCUUUUCAUCAUAGCAAUCAAACUAUAGCAAGCCCUUGAAAUUAUUUGCUAGAACAUGGAUUGAUUAUAUAUACUAGGCGGUGAAAAUUUUUUUAGCACUACCAUGGCCCUCUGAUAACUGCAAAAAAAAAAUAAAAAGAUGGGUCCAUGAGAUUUUUUUUUUUUUUUUGGCAAUAGUAAAAAAAAUUUCGUGGAUUCAAGUAUUCUAACAACAGCUUCAACCAUUUCUCACAUUAAACUUUGUGCUUUUGUUGUGGAUUUGGAAAAAAAAAAAAAGAGAGAGCAAAGUUAAAGAAACAAGAAUCUACGUUACCAUGGGGAUUAGGCAAUAUUUUCAUGGUUAUCUCCAUGUUAAACAAGCUCACAUUCUUUUACUGCAGGCCAACUCAGUCCUCUCUUAUCAAUAACUUUUUUUUGACAUUUUAUGACUCCUAUAUUCUUCCCAAAAAAAAAUAAAAAAUUCUAAACGCCAAGAAAAAAAACCCCAUCCCAAAAAAAAAAAACGAAUUGUUGAGAUGGAGGAAUGAGGCAAGCCCAAAAGAGGGAUCUUCGAACCAGUCGUACUACAACUAAGGCUGUCAAUUGGGCCAUCUGAGCCAGAUUUUGAUAUGCAUAGACUCAACUCAUAUAGUUAACAAAACAUUCGGAUUUUGGGUUAUGAGUUUCGGGCUGAUAUUUGUAAAACUCAUACUUAACUCAUAAUACAUUCGAACUUUGAGCCUAAUGCAGAUUUAAUCCAAAACUCAUUUAUUACUCCUUAAUUUUCUUAAUAUAAUUACCGUAACUAUUAAAUAGUAAAGUUAAUUUGCAAUCUACAAUAUUAUAAUUACACAUAAAUCACUAGAAAACUCAUUCAAAGUACAUAAACCAAAAGUUUUCCAAUAAUAAUGGUGUCUAAUUCUUUUAAAAAUACAUAAAUCAAAAUUUUCCAACAACAAUUGUGUUCGAAGAGGGAUUAGGGCUUUUAGUUUUCAAAUCAUGUAAUAGAUUAAUAGUAAUAGUCAUUAGUCAGUAGAAUACUAAUAGGUUAUUCUCAAAUCUCUUCAAAACCAACACUAAUCACAAAUAGUCUAAUCAUACAUUACAUAUUUAAAAAUAAUACAUUUAUAAUCAUAUCCAUUAGGGUGUGUGUAUAUACAUAUACACACAUCAAUAAUAUAAAUAAUAUAUAAAUAAGGGGCAAGAUUUUAAUCUAGUUAACAUAUAAAGGUCCAAACUCGAUUCGUAUUCAAUCAAGCCUCGUAUCUAGAUUCAUCCUCUGUCUGACCCAGAAUUCUAAUUGGCCUCGCCUCUUUUCUUUGUGCCGAAUAGGCUGAGUUCGGGUCGGCCCAACCCUAUUAAAAUCUCUAACUGUAAAUUAAUUAUAGACACUAUAUACGGGAUAGGUGGGAUUUCAAAGCUUGCAAUUUGAUUCCCAAAAAAGAAAAAAAGAGCUUUUAAUUUGAUCUCAAGGACAAAUUAACCUUCACUUUCAAGAACAGACGUGGACAAAUUUGUACAGAGCAUGACCCCAAAUCAUACUACUGUUUUGGCAUUUAUGUGACAGAACAAGCAAGUUUGGUCAUUGCUAUAGAGCUCCAUUUGGUAAGAUUUUAUGGCCAUCAUCCCAUGGGGAUACAACACCUGGCUACAAAUUUCAGACGCUCUAAUUCACGACAGUAUUAGAAGUUGGUAUCAAGCGAACAUGAUCCCCAAAAAAAAAAAAAAAAGAAAGAUACAUAUCUUAGAGCGGGUUCAUAAAUGAUCUGGGGUUAGCAAAUCCCUAACAUGUUCACCAAAUCUCAGGGUUAUAAUUAGGGGUGGUAAUUUCUAAUACGAUUCGAAAACACAACAAGAAUCUAACACGAAAUUAAUGGGUUUGGGUUGAGAUUUCGGGUCAGAAUCGGAUCGAACCCGAUGAAUCCUAAAAGAAAACAGGUCGAUUUCGAGUCAACUCGUAAUGACCUGAUAUGACCCGAUAUGACCUGUUUACGAAUUAAAAAUAAUUUAAUAAAUAUAAAAAUUAUUUUAUCUAACUAAACUAAAUCAUUCUUUUUUUUUCAAAUGCAUUAAUUACUUAAUUCUAAAUGAAUUUAUUUAACUUAUGUGAAGUUGAAAUUAUUAUAUUUGGACAAAUAAUAUAUUAUAUUAUUUUUUACUUUUAUGCUGUUUUAAUUUAUUUUAUAUUUGGUUUGGCAUAAAACACUUUUACGGUGUUUAAUUUAUUUUAGUUUUGGUUUGAAACUAUUUAUUUAAAUUUUUAUUACUUGAUGAUGUAAUUAAUUUUGUGAGAAAUUGAUUUUAUUAGAAAUUACAGUGAUAAAUUAAUAAAUUAAAAUUAAGUUUCGAGUCAUUUCGGAUCGACCCCGCCAAUCCAAAAUUUUCAGGUUCUUGUCAGGUAUCUUGACCCGUUUCGGGUUGGCGGGUCAAGUUCGGAUCAGCGAUUUUUUUUUUUUUAACUUGGACCUCAAUCCAACCCGUCAACCCGAACUCGACCCGAUUGCCACCCCUAGUCAUGAUGAUGGCUUCAACAUACAAAUUCCAAGAAACAUUUUUGAAAAACCCAAGAAAUUUGAACCUUGCUCGAAUUGUAAUUUUUUUAUAAAAAAAAAUUAUUUUUUUCAUGAACAAGUUAGGCAUUACUUUAGACAUUUUGCGCGCACAACUAAUUUUGUCAAAGUAAAUUUGGUCCUCCUGCAAAGUUGAAGGGUCCAACUUGAGAAAUCAAAACUUCCUACAAAUGCAAUGCAGGAAAUGAGAAUUCACUUGGAAGUUGUACCCAUUAAGAUGAUGAGUCAAGAUGUACCAAAAUAUUCAGAGCAAAGUCAUAAAAGAGAUGGGAAAAACUUUCAAUUCUUGCACCACUUUUUACGUAGAAAGGUUUUGUCAAAUGGGCAGUGACCAGUGAGUGAGCCACCGACUCUGCGUUUUAACUGACGAGAUGAAGGAAGCACAGUGUCCCAUUCCCAGCUGCCGUUGGUAAAUAUAGAGACAGCUAAAUUAACCAACCCACAAGGGAAGGAGUCAAGGGCCACGUUCUGGCGCAGCGGAAAUCAAGGGAAAUGACUCUCUGUUUUUUGACAUGGAAGGAAUGGGAAUGGGCACAGCAGUCCUUCCUUCCUUCCAUCAGUUCCAUGGUCGUUGCAUUCGUCAACGACAGCUAACCCAUGAGAAGUGGCUUUGCCUUAUGAUUUACUCCAUGAAAUGGAAAUCUGGGUAAUCCCGAAGUUGACUUUGCUGUCCAAGUUCGGCUCCAUUCCAUCCUUAGUCCAGUCUUAUAGUCAACACCGACCAUUGACUAUGAAUACUGUUGUUCUUUUGGCUGUGUUUGGAAGUUCUUGCCAGCACUUGGAAUGUCUGGUUCUCGAGUCUGAAUCGAUGCCAUUAAUUGAUAACUGGGAAUCUUGACUUUAAUUAUACUUUGAUUCCAAAGUUUUUUUUUACAAGUUUAAUUGUAUUCUUUAACUCCCUUAAACAAUUGCUUAUUUUGUGAUUUGUGAACUAAAAGUAUCUUUCAUUAUGCAGUAAUGUUUGGAUAAAUUGUAAUUUUUCGUAAAUAUAUAUUUUUUGUAAACAUAUUUUUUUAAUUUUUUUUUAUUUUAUAUACAUCAACUCAUUACGAUAUAUUUUUUCUUUUACAAAAAAUUUUUAAAAAUAGCAAUCAAAACGAUAAAAGUCUUAUUAGAUGUUUACGGGCAACAACUUAUGACCGUGGACAUUUCAGAUUACUAAAUGUUUAUGGUACAUUGAUGAACAUGUGGCCCACGUAGAACUCGUGUGUUUACUUAGGCCAAUUUACAACAUGACCAUAUAUGAAAUUGAACCUGUCUUCUUGUUGAACUAUAACAAACUAAGACAAAGCUACAAACAAGCCUUGUCCACCAGAUGGUAUGGUGGGGAUAAUUUCCCUCCUCUAUGUUGUAGAAAGGCUUGCUGUACUUGAUUUGAUUGAAUGAAUGAAUAUCUAUUAUUAUCUUCCAAAAACCAAAGAGAAGAAAAAGCUAUAAACCUAAUUCAGCCAAGAAUAUACAAUCACUAAACUAAGGUUCUGUUUGAUAAGUGAAUUUUUUGUUAAGUUUUUUCUCUAUAAGUUAUUUAACAAUUUAACUACAGUAAUUUCAAAAAAAAUUUCAAAAUUUUUAACCUAUAACCUCAAAAUGCUCAAGAAAAAAAAAUCCCUUCUUUCUCAACUCACCACCACCUCCACUGUCGGUCAGCACUUCGUCUACUCCGUUAGCAACCUCAUUUUUUCCCUCCUCCUAUCUUCCUUUCUCGUUUUUUCCUUCCCUUCUUCUCUCUCCGGCUCUCCCUCUCUUUCUUCCUCUACCCUCUUCUCGCCCUCUUCUUCGUCCCUCCACCAUUUUUCUCUCUCUUCCUCCCCUGCCUCCACCCCUCUAAUUGUGCGACACGUGAUCAAAGGGGGCAGAGAGAGAGAGAGAGAGAGAAAGAGAGGGGUCUGUCCACUGGUGGGCAACGGCGAUUGGUAGUGGGGGGAGGCUGAGGAGAAAGAGCAGUGGUAAGGUAGGGGAGAAAGAAAAUGAGAGAAAAGAAAAUGAGUAAGAAAAAGAAAAAAGAAAAUUUUACCAAUUUUAAUAAGUAAUUUUAUAAAUCCUACAAUAACUUACAAUAAAAAUUUAAUUUUAAAUCAAAAAAUUUUAAUUUUAGACAAAUAUCAAAAGGACUCAUAUGCCAAAUAGUGGAUUAUUAAUUCCGCGUUACAAUAGUCAAUUUCUGGUUUGGACGAGCUCAACAGCACAUGCACUCUUUGUACUUAUCUAGCAGUAUUUUAAUCCGACAUAAUAAAACAUGGAAGCAAAAUUUAAGACUUGGGCACUAGAUCUAAAGACCCUUUUGUUGACUUUUGGCAUUUCAUCAUUUUUAUACGUCAGCGAAAAUGUCCCAAUUUUCAACACCAAGAAAAUGACCAGACCCCACUGCUGCCCGCACGGCACCAAACCCCACCAGGCACCAGCACAGUGGCAUUGCAUUGCUUGCUUCUUGCACCAGAAUAUCCCCCUCUUUUCAUUCAUUUACUCUGCUCUCUCCCUGAAGUGCUCUUGCUCUCUUCUGCUGAGGUUUCCAUCACAAGAUCAUGGAAUAUUUUGUAAGUCCACCUUUAUUCCUUGAAGAAUAACUUCCUUUUCCAAUUCUUUUUUUUUUAAUUUUUUUUGGGGUUGUCCAUGUAUUUAUAUGGUUGUAUGGAAUGUACUCUGAUUAUAGGAGGGAAAGAGAAGUGGGCAAAUUCCGGCAUUUGGAAACUGGGAUAGUGCAAAUGAGCUGCCAAUAACUCAGUACUUCGAGAAUGCUAGGCAGGCUGGCUUGGUCCGUUGUAAUGUUUCUGCUUUAACUACUGAUAAUCAGCAUCAAUAUUGCAAUCCAUACAUGACCAGUGCUCGUGCUAGUGGCGGUGGUGGUUAUCCAAUUGAUCUUUGUGCUGCUGAUUCUCAGAAGCCUUCUGUUCGUCUUGUUGCUGUUCCUCCCAGAAGGGUAAUUUUCGCUUGACUUCUAGCAGCAUAUUAUGUUGUCUAUGAAGUUCUAUUUUACUCAUUUAUUUUGUUUUCCUACUGCUUUGGCAACUACCAAAUGUGAAAUCCCAAAAGAUAAAAUCACAAUACUAGUCAAUGACUUAAUGGCUAGUCGGUGCUUAUGCUAGCUAAUCUUUUGGUUUUGGUGGUGCUAAUUAGAUGUCCCAUAUUGCCUGUCAAUGAUUUGCCAAGACACAUUAUUGAUGUUCGUAGUGCAUUUUGAUGGCUCCUUUCUUGGAUGGAUACUUAGGUAUAAAUUAUAAUUAGUAGUAGUGGUGACUGUAGUAGGGUCACAAAACCGUGUCACCUAACGAUGCGGGUUCAUGCUUUUAACAGAACCCUUAGUGAUGACAAAUGCUUCUGCUCCAUCUAACCUGGAAAUAGGACAACACAACGUUAAGUGAGGGGAAAUACUGAUACCCCAUCACUUCUAGGUUUGUAGUCUUCCCAAAUGCUCAACGUAUGUCCCUGUUUAGUGUGUCUGUGCGUGUUUUUUUUUUUAAUUUACAAAUUUUAUGUUUUCCAGAAAAGAUAUUGGAUGUAGUUGGUCAAGUAACGAGUCUUUUUCUGUUGGUAAACCAUACCUCAUAUUCUAAAGUGAGUGAGUCAAUUGAUGACUCAGUCAGUCCUUAUUUCAUUCCCAUCAAAUAAUUUAUCUAGUGAACUAUCAAACAAUAAAUAUGAGUAUCAUUAACUCUAGCCCUCGUUCCUAUCCCUCGUACCCAUUUAUCAAAGAGGCCCUUAAUUCGUUUUUUGCAGCAGAAAGUACACAGAAUUUACACAUAAUGCAAAAUCCAAAGUGGCCUCUCAUACAUGCUACUCGUUUUCCUUUUCUGGGCUUUGAUUAAAAUUUUCUUAGAGUUGCAUUUGAACUUUCAUCAACCAAGAUGUACAUAGCACUAACACUUAGAUGAUCUAGGGGAAGGGGGAGUAUGAUGGGAAAGGGGAGGGGGAGUAUAAUCGAUGCUAACAGUUGUAUAAUCUAGUCUAACAUAAUUUAAAGAAGUAUAAUCGAUGAAAAAUCCUGUCGAAAGAAGUCGCCCGAAGGUGACAGCCACAAUUAAGUGACAAGUAUGGUGGGAGGCAAACCAAGACUUUAACCAACAGCCUCUUGGGCUGUUGGCUCCUUAUGUGCAUAUCAGUUCAGCAGUUUCUGGCCAAUUUAGCUUCAACUUCUGGACUUCUGGUAAUGUACGCUCCUUUCACGUGUACUUGCCAAUGUCAUUUUUGACUCGUUAAAAGAUGUACGUACUAGUGAAAGAAUAAGAGAUAGAACACAAAAACGUGGGAUUCAUUUCCACAUAUGAUAUGCAAAUCAACUGUAUAUCAUGAAAGGGAGAGGGUUUCGCAAUUGCGCUUUUGAAUCAGUUCCAUGGCUAUAGGAGAUGUGUGUGGGAUAUCAAUUAAGACUAUUUAUUGCAGUUCAUUUCAGGUUCAAGCAAAAAGUUCGAGUCAUUUAAGUAGACUUACAGGCGAAUUUCGUUUAUACCAAUGUUUUGAAACUCACAUCAAGCAAUGACUCAAUCAAAUUCAAGGACCAAUAGUUGAAUCAGGAUGAAAAACCAAAGAACCAAAUGACGUAAUAAUAGUGUCAUAAAUAUAUCUUAAUUAUAUGUAAAAUACUAAAAUAAUAUGACAAAGUUCCCUUAAGUUGGAAUAUUUUGUGAGUUUAUAACUUAGAAAUGUCUAUGAGUGGAUUUACAGUGUCGUAAAACUAAAGGGUCAUAACAGAAUAUCAAAAAGUAUUAAGAUAGUGAAGCAAAUUAAAUAAGACAAACCUAAUCCCCUCCUUUUUCAUAUUUGACUUUCAUUCAUUCAAUGCUCACACAAACACACAAGCAUGUGAAUCCCCUCUCUCUGUCCUCUCUUCUUUUCUUUUCUUUUCUUUUUAAUAGUAAAAUUAUAUAUAUCCUUAACAUUUUAUUAUUUAUUAAGAAAAAAUAUUAUUUUAUUUAUUUUUUUAAAUAAAAUAAUUUUUUUUCGAGCUCAAACUCGGCUCGAGCUUUAAAUUGUCAGCUCGUCAAACUCGAGCUCGAGUUCGACUUCAAUAAAAAUAAGUUAAGAUUCGACUCGAUUAAGUCAAAAUUCGACUCGACUCGGCUCGUUUGCUACUCUACUUGGGAGGAAUUAUAACCCUUGUUGGAUUUGGAUACGCUACAGAUGUUCGCUUGGACAUUGAAAAUGCGUUCUUGUCUGUAAAAUGGCUAAGCUAUAUUUGAUGCUACCGCUUUUGGAGAUUUAGGAUUUGCUUUUGCAUGAUGGAAAGCAAUCUCGAACAGAACAGUGACUCGGCUAAACUAUUGGCCCCGUUUGGCAAGUAGUUUUUGAGUGUUUGUUUAAAAUUUUACUGUAGUUUACUACAAAAGUUUUUAAAAAAUUUUUUGAAAUACGUUUUUUUUAAUAUUUUGAAGUGUAUACUUUUGAGAAGUUUUUUGAAACUACCGUAACUAAAGUUUUUUAAAAACUUGUAGCAAACAAACUUGGCAAAAAACUUGUUUACCAAACAAGGCCAUUGAGUCAGGUUUCAACUAAUCGGAUUGGUCGGAUCUAUCUCCAAAACCCGCUGACAUCAGUAUGAUAUCAUAACUAUUUAAUAUAUCUAUAAGUUUAAAAAAUAUUGAAAUUAAGUUCUUGAUUAUAUUCAGCCAACUAUACAAAAUGUUUAAAAAAUAUUAGAUUUGCAAAAAAAAGUGAAAAACUAAAUUAAAACAAGUUAUGCAAGUUGGAAUCAUUGAUGCUAAAUUGAUAAGAUGAUAGGAAUGAAAAUCAUUUAGAGAAGCGAAUGAUAUUUGUAUUUACACUAGGUGUGUGGCUUUUUUUGUUCCUAUUAAUAAAUGAAAACUUUACAAUUUAGAUAAUUUAAAUUAUAUUUAAAAACAUAGAAAAAAAAUUUGAAAACCAGGCUAUUAAUCGAAUCGGACCGCUAGUUUGACCGAUUUUUUGAUGGUUUUAACUGACUUUUUGCCAAAUCAGUUUGGAAAGAAAAUUGAUUCACAAUCGAUCGAUUCGAUCCGAUCCGGAUCUAACAACACUGAUGGAAAAUUUUUGUCUCAGACACAUAACAGGGGAAUGCCUCGUCGUGGCAUGGAUUAGCCGUGAUGCCGCCAAAGCCAUGUUGCAUAUAUUGGCUUGACAGGUGGAUAAGGUAAAAAGAUAUAUACCGCAAGGUUUUGGAUAUUAACUGUCAUACGUUUAAACAAGAAUUGGAAUAAAAUGGUAUGGUGUGAAAAGUAGAAUAAGAAUUCAUAAACGUCCAUAACCAGGCCUGCAAACUACUCUUCAAAUGCUGUAAUGUUGAAAAACAUUCAUAACGAGAGACAGAUGUGGAAGCUGUUUUUUUUUUUUUUUUUUUGGGUUGGACAAAAAUUUAUAUAGCUCAUCUAAUUAUCUUUUCCACUUUCCACGGAGCAAGCAACAUCAAAGUCCAUCAUCCAAACCAAAAAAUUCAAUGUAUUUAAAACAGAAUAUUCUUGCGGAUCUUCUGUCUCACACUCUGUGCCAUUCUCUGUCUCACUUUUUAUUAUAUUGCUAUUUCUCCUUCAUAAACAUCAUAUUUUAGUUCUUUUUGUUUCCUUAUGAUUCAAUAACUAUUAAUUCAGUAAAAAAUAAAUACAACAACUUAAAAAAAGCUAUAUAUAAUAGAAAAUUAAAAAAUAUAGCAGAAAAUGCAUAAAAGAUCUCAUUUUUUGUGCAUUUUGGUUUUUUGAGUUUAUUAAAUUUUGUGUAUUACUGAAUUAAUAAUUAUUGGAUCUUAAGGAAACAAAAAAGAACUAAAACAUGAUGUUUAUGAAGGAGAAAUAGCAAUAUAAUAAAAAGUGAGACAGAGAAUGGCACAGAGUGUGGGACAGAAGAUCCGUUGCGAUAUUCUUGACGAAAUCACUCCAUCACUACAACUCUCAACCCACGGGAUGGGAAAAGAUUGAAUGUAAGUACCAAAAAAAAAACCACACCAAUCCACCCAAAGAAUGAAAAACAAAUCCAGCAGCCUUCUUCCGUCCCGAAGAAGAGGCUAGAACAAUUUUUUUUGUUGCAAAAAGGCCUCCAUUCGACACAGGAAAAAUGCCCAAAUAAAAAAGGAAGAAGAAGAAAGAAAAAGAAAUCAAUACCAGCAAAACACAAGCAAAAACUAAAGCAUUUCUUCUGUCUUCAUCAGAACGAUAUUUCUACUUCUUUUGUUUGUUUUGGGUUUUGCUGUUAGAUGAACGACAGUACCUACUAGCUAGUACUAGUCAUUUGUACGUACACACUCAACACACAUUUAUUAUACACAUACAUGAUGAUUGAGGACAGUUGCCUAUUAAUUAUGUACUAAUUAGGAGGUCCAAGGAGCUUGUAAACCACAGCAUGAUCAAUCAAUCCACCAACACUAAUUCCACCAUCAUUUGACCAAUGAAAACCAUUAUCAAAUGGAUAUUCAGGCCAAUUCAGAAUCUGCUCCUCACCAAGCAGGCUGGGAGCCGGAGUCUCGUCAAAGGCAAACUCUCCAUUUAUAUCCUUAAAAAUGGACACUUCAUCAAGAACAGAAGUCCCAUUUUUCUUGUCUUCGAGUUCAGGAGAUUGAUGUUCAUUGGUCAAGUCUUGGCCGUUUUUAUACCCCGUAUUAUUGCUGUACGCUGCUGAAGCAACUGAUGAACUACCGGGAGGGGAUGGGGGUUGAUCUUCUUCUGGUAAAUUCAGCUUAGCACAUUUGCCAUAAAGCCUUUUGGCUGCGUCAUCGUAGGCUCUGGCGGCUUCAUAAGAGGUGUUGAAAGUGCCUAGCCAAACUCUUGCACCGUGAUUUGGCUCACGAAUUUCAGCUACCCAUUUCCCCCAGGUCCGUUGCCUAACACCCCUGUAGGUGCAAAAUGCAUUUUCUGGCCCGCCUUUGCCCCUCAUGCACCCUUUUCUUGAACCUCCAACGGUGAUUUUCUUCAUCGAAGUACUGAUUGCUGCUUCUUUCUUGGGCUUUUUAUCUACUGGAAUUCCUACAUUCACACCCUCAUUCUCCACUCUUUCCAUCAUGCAUGAUUGUCACAAGGUUUAUCUUUUUAGUGAUACGAAAGGAGUUUUGGGCGGUGAUAUUUGCCUGUUUGGGAUGCUUUAUAUUAUACGAGCGAGGAAAGAAUUGACCAAAUUGAUCGAAUCCCAAUUGAUACUUGGUUUAGACGACAUGUGUAACCUAGGAGGAGCUUGCUCGUCAUGAUACAACUGGGUAAUAUGACAAGUGGCACCAUGUUGUGUCUGAGGCUGUCGAACAUGAAUGUUUAACUAGUUAACGAACCAAAAAUCGAAAGAGUUCUUAUCAAACUUGAUUCGAUAUUAUCAAACUUGAUUCGAAUAUCGAGUAGAUUGUUUUAUCUUUCACCUCUACUCCUAUCUAGUUGAACAAUUCAUUUAACUAAAAGAGUUCAAAAAAAACUAUGUACAGCAAAUUACGUUUAAUGAGAUGAUGGAUUAUUGAACACCCCAAAUCAUUAAAUCGGUUGUAGCAAUCAGGAGGAUGAAUCGGGACAAGAGACCUGAGAGAGAGGGUUUUCGGCCCAAAAUAUCUUCUAUCCUACUUUCUAUCUCACGUAUUAUAUUGUUUUGUGGGAUGAUGUAGGAGGAAACUAUGGCUGCGUCCGAGCGUUCAUGUGUCAAACUGCAACGAACGAGGGAGCCAGGUGUUGAAUGCAAAGGCAUAUGGGAUCUGCAUGGAUUUGUGUCUUCUUUUGUUAUUUCUUAUGGCGACAAAACUACCACGAUGCUAAUUAGAUCACAGUUGCUACGUGUUCAUUAAUGCAUAUGUAUUCACUUCUUCUUGUAAUCCCAUUUCUUGUCCUUUCGCUCCGGGUCUUCUUUGGCAUCUGAUGGCGUUUAUCCCAUUUAGUUUCAACAAUUUGUUCAGAUUCCAACCAUGGUUCAAUACUCGGCCGAGUCGCCACUAGAAUGGAGCUUUCCGAUCCGAUAUCGGGACGAGAUGACUCCGAGAUAAUAAAUCUUGAGAACUCAACCGAGACGUCUCCGAAAUGAAUAGAAACGGCUGAGUCGUUCUGACUAGUCUCGAGUCAGUUCGAAUUUUUAUUAUUUUUAUUAAUUUUUAAUUAUUUUUUAUCAUAUAUUUUUAUAAUUUUUAGAAUAUUAAAUAUUUCAAAAAUUUGCGUCUCGUCGAGAUCGCAAUCGAUAUGCCGAGACCGAUGUGGAACGUUCCAAACUGCGAUCACAACCACGACCACGACUGUGAACCAUGAUUCCAACAGCAACAGGUUCAAGCACAAUUCUGGGAGCCAGUAUUAUAUAAACAGUAGUAUUUAUUACACUUAUAACUGAGUCCGCUAGUUGUUGGAGAGUAGUAUUUAUUUUUCUUGCAGAACCAUUAGGUGCUUGCAGGAACUGGGAUAUACUUCCAAGUUCCAACCGUAGGUUACAUACAGGGAACUCUGUAAGCCUGGCUAGACAUUUCGAUACAAUGUAUCUUGGCCGAGGACAGACUAGACUACUGAUUGCUUAGACCAUCAACCUCGCGCAUCCGAAAUGCAGAUAUUUGAAAAUUGACUAGUUAAUCUAUGGGGAUAAUUUUAGAAACCUCCUAUGAGGUUUCUGAUAAUUUCACCAGCGUCUUCUGAAAUCUGUAAAAUUACACAAAUCUUGGCUGAGGUUAAUGUUUUGAUAACAAAGUUGGUCCAAUUAAAAAAAGUAACAUUAAAAAAACACUGUAAGGAGAGAGAUGAAACUUUUAUUUUAUAAAUAGCUCUUAUGCAUGUACAUAAGUUGUAUUAACAAAAGAAUAAAAAUAAUUAAAAUUUAAAAACAAUUAAUACUCAAAUUUAACCAUUCAAAAAGUUCAUAUUUAAUAAAAUUAAAUAACUCAAAUAACUAACAAAAUUACACUAAUGAUUACAAGAUUCGGUAAAACAAACUAAUCAUCUCUUUUAACAUAAUAUUUGCAAUGAUUCUUGUAAUUUUAAACCAAAAAUUUUUUUUGAAUUUUGCUCCAUUUGGUGCCCAAGUUAUUCUUCAAAUCAAUGACAUGGUAGUUAGACAGAUUAACUCGUGAUCAUUUUUCAAAAUUUGGUCUAUAAUAGCAAUAUUUCACCAAUCGACUAAGUUUAUAGCGUCUCUAAACAAACUACUAUAUCUUUAAUAUACAUGAAACUAGAUCUAAACAUCAAAUUACUAGCUCUUUUGUGUACACACAACUAGGUGUUUUGAUGUUAAACAUGCAAGUAGGUUGAUUCAUUUGGAUUACGUGUAAUUAUGUAUCUGGCUUGCCUAGGAUUUUGAUAUGAUUUUCUAUUUUAAUUUCUCCAUCAUUCUCUUUUUCAUUAUUGGAAUGUGUUAUGAUGUCAAAUUUUGGUUUUUGCUUUAGACACGAUGCGUGCCAAACAUGUAUAUUAGAGGUUAGAGGUUAAACAAAAAUUCUAACAAAAAUUCUUGAAGAUUUGAUUGUAAAUUGUGGUAGUAUUGGAAUAAAAAGUGUUUUUCAAUGACAUCCCAAACUCUAUACAUCACUUUAUUUUGGGUUUUAAGGCAUCAUUUUAGAAAAGUUAUCAUUAAACUCUAUGCAUCACUUUUAUCUUAGUUUAAUUUAAAAAAAUCUUAGUUUAAGGAUAAUUUCAAAAAAUUUGUCAAAUAGAUAUCUUUCACCACAAGUACACAUUCUAUUUUCCACUAUGCUAUAGGGAUGUAUGUUUGGAUAAUAUAUUAUUUGAAAUAUUAUUUAGAAUAAUUACUGUAAUACUUUUUGUGAUGUGAUGUAUGCGAGAUAAAAGUAGUUAGGAAUAUAAAAAAGUGAAUUGAGAAAUGUGUUUAUGAUGCAAGUGAAAUAUUAUUUAGGAUAAUUUAGCAAUCCAAACACACUUAACACAGAUAUCGAGAUCACCUACGACCUUCCUAACUUUCCCAGCCCUAGUGAUAGCAGUUAUCAGUUUGGUCGUAAUUCCAUGGCAUCACUUGCAAGUUAUUAACACACAACUGUUCCGAGAAUUCGAGCACAACUACAAAUUGGUGUGUCCCGGUAUGAUUGUUCCUCUGAAUGAGAGAAGAAACUCUAAACAGGAGGAGAAACUGAGUGCUGCAAUUGCCCAGCCCAUAAUUAAGGCCCAUGUUAUGUAUCAAUUUCUUGUGCAAAAAUUCACCAAAAGAAAGCUUUUAAAGUGAAGCAGUAAGUCCCAAAUAGCAGUUUCAAAACGUCAUGUGAACACAAGCAGCUUUAUGUUAUCCAUAUCUUUUGGCGGUUUUAUAUCAUCCAUUUUGUCACGGACUCGUUUCGAUGACGUCUUGUUAACCUUACAUAAUUAGCAUCCGUUACGCCAUCUAGUGUUCAACAUCAACAAACUCCUUUUUUUUUUUUUUUUUUCAGAAACAACAACUAUUGUAUAACCUAUUUAUGCUAAACUAGAGGGGAGGAGAACCCUAAAGUAGGGGUGCUGUCGAGUCGAGUCGAACUCGAGUAGUGCACUACUCGAGGCAAAAUAACUAAGCUCGAGCUCGAUCUCGUCAAGCUUUUAAAAUUCGAGCUCGAGCUCGACAUCAAUUUAUGGAACUCGAGUUCGAGUUUAAUUAAAUGUAAUUAAUUCAAAUCAAGCUCAAUCAAGCUUAUUCGAGCUCAAUCGAACCUAAUCAAGCUCAAGUAAUAAAAAUUAAUAUUUUAUAUAUAAUUUUAAAUAAAGGAUAUUAUUGACAUAUCACAAUAAUAAAAAUUAAAAUAUAUAUUAUAAAAAACUCGAUAGAGCUCGUCGAGUUCUCGAGUAUUAUAUUUCCAAACUCGAGCUUUCCAAGCUCGAACUCGACUCGAUAGCUCUAACGAGCAGCUCGAGCUGCUGACCAAAUAGCUCGCGAGCUCGAACCGAGCUACUUGGUUCAGCUUCACCCCUACCCUAAAGAGGCUAUGUUUGGAACUAACGGGUAUACAGAUCUUACUUAGACUAAAGGAGUGUUUUGGCACAACUUUUGAAUUUUUUUUACUGCAGGUGGAAUUUGAACCCUCACCUACAACUCAAGGAGAGACUCAAGACCCUCCCUGGUGCCCACUGAGCCAAGUUCAGUGGUUAACAUCAAACAAACUCCUGAAUAGUAACGAUUUCCUCCAAUAGUACUCCAUGUUGAUUUUUGCUAUCGUUCGUCCUUGUUCUCAUUUUCUUAUGAGAAUGGUGUCUCUUACAUUAGUCAUAUCCUAAUUUUGUGUUUUAAUGGCCAACCGUUCAUGAUUGAAUGACUCAAGAGUUCCAGAAUAAUAAACAAAAAUGGAGAUAGUAACAGUACGAGGAUCGUAACCUAGUUUAUCAAUUGCCUUAAACAGAUGAUAUAAUUGAUCAAUGGGUUGAUCCAGAUUAGUGAAAAUUCAGAAUAGUUUUUGGAUUUGAAUUCCAUUGACUUGGUUUGGAAGGGAUUUUGAGUUGGGUUAUCAUUGUUUUGUGGGUUGUUAGAUUAUAGUAAAUAGGGACGAGGACAAAUUGGUUGUUUUGUGCGCUAGUCUUAGGCUAUAAAUAGAAUGAGAACAAUUGGGAGAGGUGGAUUAAAGGGUUGGAAAUGGUUAUAGGGUAUUCAAAUAAUUUGAUUGGAGCAAAGAGAUUGGACAGUGGUGUGGUAAAUCGGCGAGGCUUUAGAUAGUAUUGGAAAGCGAUGAAUACGUGUAAUAGUGUGUAAUUAUAGAUCUCUCCUUUCCCUUCCCUGCUUCCUUCUUCCGUCAUAAUCAUUUCCAUUAUAAACAUCUACAAUGUAUCUCAAUUCGCUUCUUUACUCUAAACUUUUUGUAACAUAGUUUUUUCAGCCUCACGCGAUGCGUGAGGAUGCCCUGGGUUUAUGUUAAUCAAGAUCAAAUGAAGGCAAGUGGAUUAAUGUAAAAUGAUUAUAUAUUAAUACAUGAUAGGUGUUAAUAAAUAUGGAAAAUUUGACUUUAGGUAAAUUGAAUAUUGCUAUUAUUCGUUUACUCAUUUGAUUUGUAAUUUUCUCUUAGAUAGUCAGUCAUUGCUUUAAGAUCUUUGCGAAUUUUCGAUACUAUAAAUAAAUGAUGCAUUCAUUUGAAAUGUACAAGUACAUACAAAUAUCAUAAAUAUGGUGACACUGAUUACUUUUAAAAUUAUGCACACUAUUUGUAUCUAGUGAAGUAAAACCCUUCUUGAAACUUAUUGUGAAUAAACACAAUGGUAAUGUCAAUAAUUUAAAGGAACAAUCAUCACAUUUCUAUGCAAUAAAAAAUGUCAAAAAAUUGAGAAUUAUUCGUGAUGUAGUAAAACAAAUAUGCUUCUAGUAAAAUUGUAGUAAAAGAAGUCAUAUUGAUAGGUGUUGUUUCUUAUAGUAAUCUUUCCAAUAGAAUGUGUCUUCCCAAAUUUCUUGCACUCAUUGCAACAAUUUUUGGGUGUAGUACAUAGAUCAUCGUCAUCAUUUUUCUUCUUUGCAUCUCUUUUUUUGUGCAAAGACAAAUAAAAAGCAGAGACUAUUAGUCAAUGACGAUGAACUUUUCCUUCUUUUCUUUUUUCAAGCAUUCUUUGAAGGAGAACAAAUUAUAGUAAUCUUGAGACAUGCAACAUGUCGUAUAUUUACCUUAACCUUAAUAGGCAAUUGACCUUAACUACCAUUUGAAUCCCGUGAGGAUGCCUGGAUUUCCGUCUGAAUUUGCUAUGAAAUAUCUAGAUUUUUGUUUGAACUUGUUGCAAAUUUCUGAUACAUUUGUGGGAAUGCAUUAGUAGGAGAAUUACUUAGGAAGUACUAAACAAUAGCUAGGAACAACAUGGAGAAAUAUAUCAUACUCAGAUUCACUACAAUGUAUUAUCCCUAUUUUCGCAAAUGCAAAGCAAUAGUAUCCCUGCAUCUACAGAUUGGUCUUAGUAAGGACCAUCCAAUAUUGAUUUAUAAAUGACCAAACCCGGAUUUAUCUCUUACCUUACUCGUACCAUUUGAAGAUUCUAAUGGUAUUUUCCAUGUUUCCCUACUUGCAAUACCUAUCCAUCAUGAAUCAUAACAGAGCAGACUGGAAUUAGUCCACUGACAAACACAUUAGAUUGCAAGUUUGAUUUAUGUAUUCUUGAUUCUACAAAAUAACUGAUGAGUUUAAUGGGCGGACAAACACCUUUGAUAAAAUUCUUCCAAACAACUUUAACUUGAUCAUUGUAUUGCACAACCUAAAUGCGCCUCCAAACACCCAUUUAUGGAAUAUGAAUGAAUUAGUGCUGCGUGAGUUCUUGACCAAUUCAUGAAGAAAUUCCUCAGCUCUAGCCACACACCUAACUUGCAAAAUCAAUUGGUGAGAGUAGUACAAGUAAUUAGAUCAACUCAACCCUCUGACAUGGUUCCCCUCCACUCAACUUUUUGAUGACCCCAUAAACACCCAGGGUUAAGCCAAGUUCAGUGUACACCUACACAAGUGCUUUUGAAACUGCACUACUUGAAAAAACUCAUCCAUAGCUAUUAGGCAAUGUAUCCAGAGUAGCAAAAUGUGAGCAUAUACAUAUGUUAUCAUCAAUUAUUUCAUCAAAGACAAUACAUCAUCCCGCUUUCCGCAAUUCACCAGGACAUGAAUGAGUAUAACAUAACAACUUGGACAUUAAAAAGGCAAUCCAUAGAUACCACAUGGCACUAAAACCAAAAUGCUUUACAAUAGUUAUAGUGACAUAAUAUUUGCUAUGCAUAUAUUAGUCACUCUCAGGCAGAAAACUAAAGCAAAAUUUCACAUUAUUUUUAAUAGUAUGAUCAAUUCAGUCACGUAAAAAUUUAAAGUCAAGGUCCCUGAGAAUGAUAAUUAUCCAUCUAGAGUACAAUAAAUCUUUGAUAGGGUUAAAUACUUGUUAUCCCCACAUCUACAUGCAUACAAAAACAUAAAGUAUCAUUAUCUGAAUAAGCUUUUAUUACACUAAAAAAAUCAUUCAGAAGCAACAAGUUAUUACACUAACAAGUCAACUGGUUUGGCUCUUUAACUCUUCUUUUGUUCAAGAAAUCAAAAUCUUUCAAGAACAGUUAAAAGAAAGAACGAUAUAAAAGAACUUACCCCAAGGUAUAUUUUUUCCAGUGCUCCUCUGUUUUGUGUAAAGGGUACAAGAGUUCAAGUUGUUAUUGGCUAGAAGGGGAAGGGAAAUGCCACAUAUAGCCAAAACAACAUGUGCUCCUUCAUUCUAUUUUCCAUCUUCAGUAGAGUUAAAAGUGACAAGCAUUUAUUAGAAGGCUUUCUAAUUCUGCUCCGUUUUUUUUCAAGUCUAAGUUCCUAGAAAGAUAUACAUAUGGAAGGAAAAGGUAAAAGGCUAACAAAUAAAAAGGCAUAAAGCUAAACUUUCUCAAAGAAAAGAAUUCAUGCAAAGAAAAGUACCAUAUUAAGCUCUAGUAGUGCAGUUUAAUAUAAUGAAAGCUCUCUCAUACUUAGUCAAUCAAUAGACAACCUACAACAUUAACACCUUGUCUCAUUUAGACAUUUUACAAAAAUUUCAAAAGCUCUAGAAAGAACCAAUUUGAUAAGUGAUUGUGUUAGAAAGUUAGAUUUCUAAGGCUAACAGAAUAAGUCCAAGGAAUUGGCCACAACUAAGCAAAAAGUUUAGGUGAAAACCAUGCAAUGCUCAAACUAUUACGACUUGCAAUAAAGAGAUAAUUAUCAACAUGUAUGGUGCUAAGAAAUCUAGUAGAACAAGAAAACAAAGAUGCAACAAUGAGUAAAUAAAGGUUAGGUAAAAAAACAUUUGGCCUUUAAAUUCAAUCAAUUGGCAUGAUAGUUGAUAAUAACCAAUAGCAUGGCUAAUCAUCAACCUGUCAAAAAAGAACACCAACGGGAAAGAAAAGAGAAGGAAGCAAAAUAUAAAUUAGUAGACAAUAUAAAAUAGAGGAACUUGAGCUCAGCAGCAAGGACCAAAGACAGACUGAUAACUUCUUACUUUCAAUAACUGUCUCUAUCGAAGUGCAGCAAGGAGAAGAGAAGGAAUGAUGCCCUCCACUAUCAAAAAGAUUAGCGAAGCAAAGGAAAACGGUAAGUGGCAAACAAACAUUUGAGUUUUGUAGUCUCAGUCGUACAAAAGCUUGAUAACUUCAAUAAGAAAGUUUACCUUGUUCAAUUAUAUAAGCAAAUAUAGGUCAUCAACAAAGAAAAUGAAAUUUUACUUGCAUAAUACACAACGGCUGCAAGUCAAAAUUUGAUAGAUGUUCCUUCCUAUUAUACUUUAAUUUCCAUUCAAUAAUUCAACUAUUUGAAAUAUUUGAAGAAAAACAUUAAAAAAAGGUAGCCAAAGUUCCGAUGAGGCUGGCACUUCCAACUCUGCCGAUCACAGCAAAAUCGCAGAGCUAGUGUUGCACAGGCUAAGAAACGAACGAGAUUGGUGGAGGGAAUUAAAUAUAAGAUAGGUAUAUAUCUUUACUACAAAAUCAGAUUGCCCUCGGCGGAGGAGAUGGAUAGAAGAUGGUAUAUGACAAACAAAACCGAUAAGGUUGGCACUUCAAACUCUGCCGAUCACAGGAAAAUCGAAGAGCUAGUUUUGCACAGGCUAAGAAACGAACAAGACACAGUAAUGGAGAUUGCAAAGCCUGCGCGCAGCGAUUCUUGCACUUUGUCCAGAACACUUAGAUUUAACUACUUCGCUAAGAAUGAGCAAGAACACAGCCACCGCGCGGACAGCCGCAAAUCGAAGGCCAUGCAGACAGCUCAUAGCGGCAAACUCACCGGCCACAAGAAAGCCACGCGGACAGCAUCGAAGUUCCAAAGCCAUGCAGACAGCUGAUAGCAACAAACUCACCGCCCACAACAAAGCCACGCGGAUAGCAGGAAAUUUCCAGCAAAGCCACCACCACUGAAUGGCAAAAGAUCAAACUGCCCCUCAAGCUCACACAAAUCACGCUAUAACCGGCCCAUUUUCACUGUAGCUAAGCCAACUGACGCUUUUAGUAUAGUAAAGAUUUG
rnacentral:lncRNA from 1 species